AAUACCUGUGAGUAUGAAGGGAGCCCAGGGAAUUUGAAACCGCCCCUAUCUGCUCUCAGGAAUGUGGGAAAAAUAAGAGAAUUGGGAUUGGCUUGGUAGCACUCUUUCGUGAGUCUUAUCUUGAGUUCCCUUGGGAUGGAGCCCAAUUAGGUCUGCUUCUUUUCGGAAUCUUAGGGAAGUUGACCUGUUUACUCCUCACUGUCUUUAUGGCUCCUUUCUCCAACUGCCACUUGGGUCCUCUUUGACCUCUCAUUUGCUGCAUUAGCACCUCCAGGUCUCCUGACUUGGUACCUCCCUCAGCUAUGCUGAACAUCCACAGACUACAUACUGAGCAGGAUUUGGGAGUACAGCUACUAACAGCAAAAAUUAUGUAACCCUACGCGUUCCCUUCUUAGAGCACACAGUAGAAAAAAUAGACCGAUAAAGUGAACAAAAAUAUAAACACUAUGCCUGAUAAUGGCUGCCAAGCAGAGAGUCUGAACAUUACAUGAUCUAAACUCAGCCCCACCCUAAAGUUAGAGUCCUUGUCUGGGCUGCAGGGACAGAAAGCUCCUGUUCAACAGAGGAGACAGAGGGCUUAGAAAACAGAGGUCUCUGUGGAAAGUGAUAUGUGACCAGCCAGGGCUUGUGGUAUACUGGAAAGAAGGUAGAGGCUGAGGGAAUGGGAGCUCAAGCCCCACCAUCCUAGCCAACAUAUAAAGACUAUGCUGUGACCUUAACCAGAGAGAAGACGAUCUGUUCUGCCUCUUAAAGAUUAAAGAAGAAAAGAUAGUUGAACUGGAAACAGAAAAUGCUGUUCUGUCCCUGAGAUUGGCAGAGAUAACGAAGUAAUGUUUUGCUCUGACCAAUGAGCCACAGGAAUGGCUCUAGAUGUGGUCAUCGUAUACUACCCUGAAAGAACCGCCAGAGUUCCAGGACGGCCACCUUUCACUUAAGCAAACUUGUCCACAGACUGUGUGGGUCCCAUCAGCUGAGAGUAGCCUUCACAUUGCAGUGAUGUGCAUAUUUCUGCUUUUCAGCCACGAUGGACUUUAGGAUCUUCCCUGAGGACCCUACAAGAACCACAGGUGACCUGGAUGCAGAAGUCCUACCUGUAGCUGCCAUCCAGGGCAUAAGUCCCUCAGUGAGUGAAUUCCAGAUGGUUCUGUCUAAAGCAGCAUCGAGCAGGGUGGUGGGAUAGAAUGACAGUUGUGAGCAGUUCCCAUCAGCAUCAACUGUACCACAGACCCAGUCUCAGUGUGACACAGAAGACGACUACCUGGAAAGUUCAUCCACAGAGCACGUAAUUCUGAUUGGUGCAACAGUCUGGAAGAGUGAAAGACGUCAUCUCCCAAGGGCAAGUGCUGUGCUAGUGGACACUGAGGAGCUGCAGGGAUCAGACCCCUCCCCAUCCUUCUCCAGCCUCUCUUGUUCUUCCUUGAGAUGUUUCCUGCAGACCUGAAAGAUCCAGGCAGUCCAUGACAUGGGUUUGAAUUUAAUCUCAGGACAUUUUAUUCAUUGCCCAAAAACUAAGACCAGAUAAAAUUUAUUUAUUCAUUCAUUCAUUCAUUCAUUCAUUUCUUAUAUAUAAAUACAGGGUAGUUGUCUUUAGAAACAACAGAGAGGUCAUCAGAUCUAAUUAGAGAUAUUUGUGAGCUGCCAUGUGGUUGCUGGGAUUUGAACUCAGGACCCCUGGAAGAGCAUUCAGUGCUCUUAACCAUUUAUCAAUCUUUCCCAUUUCCAAGGUAACUUUUUUACUUUCAACAAGGUAUUCUUUAUUCAGGUUACAUCCUGAUCCCAGCUACUCUCCCUCUUCCCUUCCCAGUCCCACCAUACAAAUCCUUUCUAACAGUGCUCUCCCUUCUCUUUGGAGAUGGGGAUACUCCCUGGGUACCACACCACCCUGGGACAUCUAGUCCCAGGUGGACCGAGCACAUUCUGCCCCACAGAUUUACAAUCAGGCAGUCCGGGUAUGGGGAAGAGAUCCAAUGGCAGGCAACAAAGACUGAGACAGUCCUGGAUCUACUUGUCAGAUGACCCACAUGGAGACCAACUGCAGAUAGCUACACCAGGCUCUGGAGUUGGUUGCACAGGCUCUAGUAUACAUGGUCCAAAGUAUCUGACUGUAGGGGACUUCUUGUAGUGUUUUUGACCCCUCUAGUUUGCUCACAAUUCUCCCUCACUCUUCCACAAGACUUCCCAAGCUCCAUCUGAUGUUUGGCUGUGGGUUUCAGCUUGUGGAUGAAGCCUCUUCAGAGACAAGUAUGUUUCUUUUCUGUCCACAAGUAUAUCAGAGUAUCAUAAAUACUGUCAGAGGUUAUCUCUGUCACAUAGAUGGAUCUCACUUUGGGGCAGUCAUUGAUUGGUUGUUCCCUCAAUCUCUGCUAUAUCUUUAUCCCUGCACAUUCAUUAGCAAGAUAGAUUUUGAGUUGGUGCUGUGAGUGCAUUGAUGUCCACUUCCUCGUCUAGAAGUUCUUUCUUGCAACAAGAGGUAGCCAUUUCUGUCUCUUGCUCUGGUAGGAUUCUAACCUAGGGUCACCCCCGUAGACUCCCCCUAUGCUCUCCCUUACCAGCCAUCCAGCAAGUCACCAGAGAUCCCUGCUCCCUCCUGCCCAGAAAAUUUGUAUUCCCACUCCCAUCCCUCUCCCAAACCCCUCUCCCUUGACCUGAUCACUAUUUCCGUCUCCUUUCCUGCCUCUUCUCUUACCCUGUUCCAUCACUUCAUCCUUCUGAGAACUAUUUUGUUUCCCCUCUGAGUGAGAUUCACACCUCCUCAUUUAGGCCCUCCUUCUUUCUUCUUGUCUAUCUAUCUGUUAUCUUACACUGUAUGAUAAUGUCCACCUAUAAGUGAGUACACACCAUACGUUUUUCUGUGGUUCUGGGUUUCCUCACUCAGGAUAACAUUCUAAAGUUCAUCCAUUUGCCUAAAAAGUUCAUAAUGUAUUUAUUUUUAAUAGCUGAAGAGUAUUCCUUUGUAUAGAUAUAUAUCAUAUUUUCUGUAUCCAUUUUUCAGUUGAGGGGUAUUUAGGCUUUUUUUAGUUCUUGGCUAUGACAGAUAAAACCAGUAUGAACAAAGUUCAUCAAGCAUCCUUGUGGGAUGGUGGGGCAUCUUUUGUGUAUAUGUCCAGGGGUUGUUUUGCUAAGUCCAGUGGUAAAACGAUUCCCACUUUUCUGAGAAACUGCCAAUAUGAUUUUGAAAGUGGAUAUACAAGUUUGCAAUCCAAGCAGCAAUGGAGGAGUAUUCCCUUUUUUCCACAUCCUCACCAGCAUGUGCUGGAUGUCACUUGAGAUUUUUAUUUUAGUCAUUCUGAUUCAUGUAAGUUGGAAUCACAGGGUGCUUUUGAUUUGGAUAUACCUGAUGACCAAGGAUGGUGAACAGUUCUUCAAGUGUCUCUUGGCCCUUCGAAGUUCCGCUGAUGAAUUUAGCUUUGCACCCCAUUAUUAGAUUAGGAUAUCUGGUUUCUUGUAGUUUAACUUGUUAUUUAUGUAAUUUGGAUAUUAGUCUUUUGUGAGAUAUAGGCUUGGUGAAGAUCCUUUUCCAACCUGUAGUCUGCCAUUUCUCCUAUCAAGUGUGUUCUUUUCCUUACAGAAGCUUUUCAGUUUCAAGUUUCGUUUAUUGUGGAUCUCAAUAUCUGAGCACCACUGGGGUUCUGUUCGGGAAGUUGUCUCCUGUACCAAUGUGCUCAAGCCUAUUUUCCAAUUUCUCUUGUAUCAGGUUUGACGGAUAAGGUUUUAUGUUGAGGUCUUUGAUGCAAUUGGACUUGAGUUUUGCAGAGCUUUAUACAUUAGGGUCAUUGCAUUCUUCUUUAUGCCUGUAUCCAAUUAGACCAGCACCACCUGUUGAAGAUGCUUUCUUAUUUUUGUCAUAUGAUUUUGCCUCCUUUCUUGACAAUAAGCAUCCAUAGUUGUGUGGGUUUAUUUCAGGGUCUUGGAUUUCAUUUUAUUGAUCAAUCUGUCUGUUCCUAUACCAAUACCAUAUAGUUGUAUUACUAUAGCUCUGUAGAACAGCAGUAAAUCAGAGAUGGUGAUUCCUCCUGAAAUUCUUUUAUUGUUCAGGAAAGUUUUAGCUCCCUGUGUUUGUUAAAUAUUUCACUUGAAGUUGAGAAUUGCUCUUUUAAGGUGUGUAAAGACUUGUUUUCAGCUUUGACAGGUAUUGCCUUCACAAUUUAGAUUGGUUUUAGUAAGAUGGUAGUUUUCAAAUUAUUAAUCCUACCUGUCCAUGACCUUUCUUAUGAUAUCUUCUUCAAUUGCUUUAAUCGGAGAUUAAAUUUUUUGUCAUACAGAUCUUUCCUUUUCUUAUAAUUGCACUGAGGCCUUUUUGUUAUAUUAUUUGUUGCUAUUGUAAAUAGUAGUGUUUCCCUAAUUUGUCAGUCCCUUCAUUGUUUGUUUAAAAGAGUCCUACUGAUUUUUUUUAGUUAAACUUGUAUCCAUAAACUUUGCUGAUGGUGUUUAUCAAAUGUAGGAGUUAUCUGUUCUUUUUAGCUUUGUCAGUCUUGGACCCAGAGGGCAGAAUGAAGGGCUGUAAAGAUGACAGGGUGUUUCCUCUAUCCUAUCUUCUCCUUUGUCAUUCCAAGGGCAGUAAGCCUAGAAAUUACCUUUCCAUUCUUUCUCCAAACUCCAUUUGUUUACCAGACAGUGAUAGCUGAGAAUUCCAGACCACUACUGUGUCAUAGUGGUCCCUGUCUGCAGGAUACAAGCCUCUCAGCCUAGGGCAUUCUUGUGUCAUGUGGACCCUGUCUGCAGGAGAAUGGUCUCUUAGGGCAGGUGAAAUGUUGCCUGUAUGUUCUUCAAUUUGCAUGAGGUGGCUAGAAGGAGGUUUUUAUGUAAGGCACACAACACAUCAUUCUUCAACAAUGUGAGCCUUCAGAUCUGAUGUAAAUAUUUGAGAUUGAAUAUCUAGUUCAUGAUUUAAUUUCAAAAAUUCUAAAGAAAGGUUUCAGAUUUGAUGCUAGGGAUUUUAUUUUUAUCAAUUCAAAUCAACAUUACACUAAUCGUUGGUGGACAUUAUAGGUGACAGUUCUGUUAGAGAGUUAACUAAUUCUUCAGAGGUUCCAAAGACUCUAGGACUCUCACAGCAUUACACAGCAUUCUUGCAGGUAGGAGCAAAGAUGUCUGAGAAGAGUGGGAGCUCAUAGGUGGCCGUCAAACAUAGCUAUCUGAAAAGAUGUAAAUUUAGUAAAGAGAUGUAGAUACACUGUCAGGAAAGGAAGAAGUGUGUUGCUGUACCUCCUGUGACUUAAGUGCUAGAAGAACACUUGUGUCAGUCGAGUCUGCAACUCUUUCUCAGCAUAAUAGAGUUAUUUAAUUUUAAUUCCUGAAUUUUGCACUGUCAUUCCUUAGGUGAUUUAUGGAAAAAGACCUCAGUUUGCUUAUUUUAUGUGAAAGGGGAUUUUAUGAUUUCAUCACAUUUUCUAUUUUCAGAAUCCCUAAUGUGGGUUCAGAAGAUUUUUCUGAUCCAUAGAAAUCUGUGCAUCAGUGAAAUAUGCACACUUUCAAAUAAAACAGAAGCAUUUUCAACCCAAAAAUUCUUUUUAAUACAAGCUAUACGAUCAAGUGUUGAAAUACAAGCAUAAGUAUUUUUUUUUACAUUUAUCGAGUUUCCUAUUUGAAAGUGUGUCUUUGCUUUUUCCUCUGUAAGAGAAUAGAAUGUCCCAGAGAGCUGAUGAAGGAUUUGCACACUUGUCUUGCCUAGGAAGUGCAUUCUCCUUGUUUCUGCAGCACAUGGGCAGCCUUUGGUGGCAUAACAAUACCUCCCAAAGAAGAGCAGGUACCUGCUAUCCCUAGUGCGUGGGAAGACAGAUGCACUCAAGAACCUGCAAGCAUCUGAAAAAUCUGCAUGUGUGUUUGUGAGACCUGUAGUGAAAUAGACUUGGCCAUCCCUGGGCAGUGAGGUCAGAUGUGAAUAUGUGUUGUAAGAGCACAUUGAAUAGCAUACAUUACUGUGGGGAAAUGUCUCCUUUCACUGCCCCAUGCUAAUGCCUGGACUCCCCAAACAUAUUCACUGAUAAGCCCAUUGCCUUAAAGGUCUUCUGGUCGUUCAUGUUUGAAAUGUAAGUGGCCACUCAGUACUGAUGGAAUGAAGGUAUGCUUUAUUAUCAUGGCACAAGGUACACUGAUCAGUUCCAGCAGGCUGAAGGGUCAGUGAGAUGUUGUGUCCCCUCACUCUCAUGCAUACUUUGCUUGAGCAGGGCAGCAGGACAGCAUCCAAAUCUCAGGGGAUGGGUGAAAUACAAGGAGGGAGUGAGGCGGUUGUUACUCAAAGGAUGUAAAGUUCAGAUGAACAGGGAAUGACUGUGACUACUGUUAUAUGGUAAACUGUGACACUCCGCAGUGUCCUGUAAAAAAUGCAAAGGAACUUUAAGAAAGGGAAGGCAUGUUUGAGGGUUUAAGGAAUUUGGGGGGAACAUUUUUGGAAGAGCAGAAUUUAUAUAUUAGAAUUAGAGUUUGUAUUUCGAUAUUUUAAUUUACAGGUUUUUUAAAUCUGUGGAGAUAUCCAUUAGAAACUAGAUUUGGUACUCAUCGAGGACCAUGUCUUCUUAUGCACCCUGUCCUGUGUGGGAUUUGUGGCUCUGACCUACUGUUUUCCCUGGUCUCUGUACCACUUCAUUUUCUGCCAAAUCCUACAUGAGUCUUCCUCUGUCCAUUCCCAGGUAAUAAAGUGUUUUCAGAAACACAUAUACUCAUGAAUUUAUGAUACAAUUAAAGCAGAAUAGGUUGGUUGAUUGACUUGGCAGAAGAAAUGUUCAUCUCCUAAAGUGCCGGGUGAUUAUGUUUGUUUACAAAAUUUUUCAACUUAUUCACUCAAGGCAUUGGGAGGUAAGUGCCAGUCUUGAGGUUGCUUAAUCAUUUUUAGCAGUAUACAGAUAGUACUGCCCCUGCUCACCCUGUGAUCCCAGGCAGUCACAUACAUGACAGGUUAGGGGAUCAGACGAGAAACCAUAUGUGUGUGUAACUGUUAACACUGUGAGAAAUGAACACAGAACCUGUGCAGGUUGAUUGAAGGACCCUAUAAGACAUUAUCUGUUAGGUAGGCUCUCUUGAGAUAGUAGAGGGCAUGGGGAAGAGUCUCCUCCAUCGGAAGGCUCAGGAGGCAGGAUCGCAAGUUGGCUGGGAAAGUUAGGUCUCCAGGUGAUACGAGUAUUCAAUGCCACAGUAAAUUGAUUUGUACUCUACAAGCAGUGUGGGGACUCUGUUUUUCUUGAGAAGGCAGAAGCAAAGUCCCAUAUUCAAUGAGCAGGUAAUCUACCCAGGAAAACUUCUGUGGGUAGGCAUACCGCUUUUGCUUAUGAGUGGCCAAUGAACAAUACCCACCGCCCCUCCCCCUACAGACUUAGCUAUGCCCUGAGGGGAUUUCCAGAACAGAGUUAGUGGCAGUUUCAGCAUCAAAUGCCAGUGAGUAUGAAGGGAGCCCAGGGAGUUUGAAACCAUCUCUCCAUGCUCUAAGGGACGUGGAAAAAAUAAGAGAACUGGGGUUGUCAUCGUAGCACUGUUUUCUGAGUCUUGAGUUCCCUUGGGAUGGAGAUCAUAUUUUCAGAAUCUUAGGGAAGUUGACCUGUUUACUCCCAACUGUCUUUAUGGCUCCUUCCUCAAACUCCCACUUGGGUCCUCUCUGACCUUGCAUUUGUAGCAUCAGCACAUCUAGGUCCCCUGACUUGGCACCUCCCUCAGCUAUGCUGAACAUUCACAGACUCCAUACUGAGCAGGAUUUGGGAGUACAGCUACUAAUACCAAAAAUUAUGUAACCCUACUCUUUGCCCUCGUAGAGCACACAACAGAAUAAAUAAAUGGAUAAAGUGAACAAAAAUAUAAACACCAUGUGUGGUAAUGGCUGCCAAGUAGAGAGUCUGGACCUUACCUGAUCUGAAAUCAGCCCCACCUUAGGCUUAUGGACAGGAUACUGCGAAGGGGAAAAACAUUUGAAAUGUAAGUAAAGAAAUAUAUCUAAUAAAAAAUUAAAAAACCAACCAACCAUACAAACAAACAAACAAACAAACAAACAAACAAAAAAGACUAUACUGUGACCUUACCCAGAGAGAAGAUGAUCUGAUCUGCCUCUUAAAAGUGAGAUUUUAGCAGGUAGUGCUUGCUGACCAGAGAGGUCAGAUGCUUGCUGAGCAGCCCCUUAGAAGACAAGGCUUGACUUCCAACUAGCAGACAAGGAAGUCUGUGGGCAUGCUCCAAGGAAACUGGUGAGAGCCGCAGGCAGCAUUUUGGAUCUUUGCAAAUUUGCCUAAGUGUACAUUGAAGGAAGAAAUCUCUGUCCCAGCAACAAGUGCUCAGUUCCUUAAGGAGAGCACAACCCUGCCUGCUUCAAGCUCCAGAAGCUACCCAGAAGCUUCAUCCUGGGACUGUACCUUAGCACUAACUCAGAACCACUUUACCUCACCUUGAGAGACUAAUCUUAGGACUUCCAUCCAUCCCAAGGUACAGCUGGGCUUGUAGCAUCAAUCUCAGACUCCAGGGCACACCAAGAAUGCACACUGUAAUAAUCUUUGUGGGCUGUCUCCACAUUUGAGCAGAGGUUUCUGUGGGCUUGAGAUUGGAAGUCUUGGGUCCAAGAGUUGGCUCCAGUUCUCCUCAGUUUGUAGGUAGCAGAUUCCUCUUGAUGUCCUGUGUUCUCUCUCUGUACCCUUCUAAUGUCUGUGGCUCUAGGGUUCCCUUCAUAAGGACCCCAAAGACAUUACAACAGAGCCCACUUUUCAGGCUUCCUUGAAUCGAUGACCUUGAAGGCACUGUCUUUAAGUGUCACCUGCUUAGUGUCAGGGACUUCAUCCUUCACCAUAUGAAUUGGGGUGUAUCUUGUCCAACCUAAGGCACUCAAGAGAGACUCAUAGGGUCAGGGCAAACCUGACAGAAAUUUCUCACAGAGCCCCAUUCUAAUUGGACCAGACUUUGUAAAUGUUUGUGUCCCAGGUCUUUCUGGUACUGCUGUCCAAAAUUGUUCUCAUGGUAUAAAUCCGUCAUUUAUGGAGGGAAACUGAACAAAAGGCUUCGCAUCAGUAAGGAAGAAAAAGGCAGUCGACUUGUAGAUGGAAUCCAAUUAUAAAUAGAAGAGACCCUAAGGAAUCUGCUAAAAUUUAGCACUGAAUAGUGAGUUAUACAAGACCAAUGAAUAUAAGAUCUGUCAGCAGAAAUGAAGCAGUUCUGUAGCCUAUCAGUAAACAGCACAAAAUUAAGGUAAAAUUUCUAUGUCAUACAGCAUGUUUAAAAAAAUCAAAAGUAUUUUCAAAUUACUUUGACCAAACACAUACUAAACUUUUAACUAUAGCUUCUAUUAUUUUUGAAAUCUAGAAAAUAAUAAACUUCAUCAACAUAUUACAGAGAUUUUCAUAAUCAAGUGAACACAUUUACAAAUUGACAGUGUAUAACUCAGAGGUUUUCAAACUCACACCAUGGGCUCUCUUUACCAAUCAGAGUUUAGAAGUGCAGUGUCUCACAUUACUCUGUGAGAAGAUUUAGAGAGUUAAUUCCCUAACAGCAGGGUCCGCAUCCCAAUGUGGAGACAGAAUUCCCUUCAAGAGGGUCUAAAUCACCUGCAGGUAUGAGUAGCCCCCUCAAAGGAAGGACUGAAUCUCCUGCAGGCGAGAAUGACAAAAAUGAGAGGAUCCAUAGGAGGAGGGACUUAAUUUCUUCUCUGAUGAGACUGGAGCACCAGCAGGAAUUUGACUCUGUAGUCUGAGAGAUUAUUUUCAUCAUGAUGUUCUGAGUUCCCUGAAUCCACAGCUGGAACACUGAGCCACCACCAGGAACACUGAACCUGGACCAGUUGUCUUAAGGGCAUUAAAUACGAAUUUCACUUCUUUGGCUAUUAAAAUCCCACCAUGCUCUAGCUUCCUUCCAACAUCCACCACCCUUCAUUCCCCACCAUCUCAGCUUCUCAAUGAAUCCUUCCUCUCCUUGAUUUUCCAAGCCUACCUACGUCUUAUGAGCACCUACACACACACACACACACACACACACACACACACACACACACACACACACACACACACCUGGCUUUGAAGGGAUCCGAUUUUGAUUUUUAAGGCUGAACUGUUUCUAUGGCUUUCUCUGUAAACUCUGCUUCCCAGCUACUUUCCAUGGCACCUUCCUGACCAAAAGAUAAAAGAGUCUCAAGUGUACAGCUUGCAUCCCUGGUAGUCCUCAGGUCUGGAGCUGAUGGGCUCAGAGCCAUGGGGUGUGUGUGGGUAGCCGGCCAGGCCUUGCUGAGGCUGACUUGUCUUGCCUCUGCAGUAUGUGAAGGAGUCUUCACAACCUGACAGUUGACUUUCUCCUUGCUGAGACUCUUUCUACCAUUUCUUGCACUCUGUUCAAUCAUGGUAUUUCAUGUGGGCAUGUACAUGCUGUGUUGGUCCAUUUUUCUUUUGGAUCCUGGGUUGCAGGUUAAAGAAAAAAAAGGUAGUUGAACUGGAAACAGAAAAUGCUAUUCUGACCCUGAGAUCCGCAUAGGUAAUCUCUGUCCUGUAGACUGAUUGACUGAUGAGACACAUGUGAGUGUUAGCUUUGCGGAGACUACUGUAGUUGUAAAAGAUGGAAAGGACUGCGGCUUUCCUUUGACGGCUGGUCCCCUCCAUUGAGAUUGCCACUUAGUGUGUCAUCCAGUAGUGGAACAGAGAUUAAUCCUAAAUCUUUCUUCCUCGUGCUCAGAAGUAUUUAAGGAAUAAUGCUUUAAUGAUACAUCCAACAGCUGGUCCUGGACAGCUGUGUUGUACUGUUUAUGCACCAUGAUUCACCCACAUUAAUUUUAAUUGAUGUAUAGAUAUAGUAGUCACCUCCAACCCCCAAAUACUUGGUCUCAAUAAGUGCAAACCCAGGUCAUCAGAUAUGGUUUCUCAGACACCCCACAGCACGCCGCACUCCGAGUGGGAUGCUGCACAGUUCAGAUGCAGACAUUUCCAGUGUGGCUGGGUGUUCAGUGUGCCCUUCAUCUCCUCACAGGCUCUUCUGACACAACCUCCACUGAAACUCCAGUUGUUUCCUUUCCUUGGACUUUUGUUUUGAAGUGUAGUGCUCUUUUUUCAGGUCCUGAUUCUAGAAGGCAUUGAAUCCCCUGCAGACACACAGUCUGUCUUGUCUUAAACUGGUACGUGUGUGUGUGUGUGUGUGUGUGUGUGUGUGUGUGUGUGUGUGUGUGUGAGUGUGUGUGUGUGUGUAUGUGUGUGGAGUUGUUGUUGUAGUAGUAGUAGUAGUAGUAGUAGUAGUAGUAGUAAAUGAAGUUCCACAGACCAAGACAACAACUCAGGAUACAGAACCCCCUGCAAGAGAUCCUCAGCUGAAAACAUGGAAUUCAGGAGGGACUGAAGACAGCUGACGUGCAACAUGAUGCUAAUCUUACUAAGAUCCUCAACUUUUCACCCAAUACCUGUGAAGCUAGAGUAGCUCAGAACACACUGAGAAGUGUAGAGAGAAAGAAUUCCAUGCCUAUUUUCCUCUGCCUAUGAGAAAUAGGUUUCAGGACCGUAAAUAGUUUUUGAGGGUAAGUUUCUCUUUUAUAAAAACCAGUCUUUUUCUCUUAUAUACUACUUUAAAAUUAUUUAUUUUUAUUUCACUUGCUUUUGUGUUUUACCUGGAUGUGCAUCUGUGUGUGGCUGUCAGAUAUCCUAGGAAGUUUGUUGUGUAUGGGCAAUUCCAUGUAAAACAGAACAAAGAGGAAAUGCAACAUCAACAGUAGCAAUCAGGUCUCUCUCCUUAGGCCCCUGUGGAUGUAGCUGCCCUUGGGACUGACAGAGUCUUCUUUGUUAAUGCAUGCCAUACACUGAGCUACAGCUGUGAUGGCUCCUAUCCUAUGGCUACCACAGCACCUGAAUCUUGCCCUAUCUCCAGGAUACCUGCAUCCAGCCUUGUCUCCAGGCAAACAUGCUGAGGAAGAAACAUUAGCCACAUGUAAACAAUGUGGGAUUUGUAAGUACACAAAGAAUAUAUUUUCCCUAUCAAAUAUGCAUUAUAAAAGGAGGAUAGCAUGAAGGAGAGAGAUGCUAUAGACUAGGACUCCAGUUACACAGUGGUUUCCAUAUGGAUUUGUCAGACAUGACUAGGAAGGGUGUUGGGAAUCUGUGCAGACUUAGACAAACACAAAUGCUUUUCUGUAAUGGGAUCCAAGAGGAAAACAGGAUCAGAUGAAAGCUCCUUACCCAAGGAUGACCUCUCUUCAGUGAGAAGGCCAGAGUUAUGUGUGGCUUCCAUCUCAAGAUCUCGGGUGGAAUGUGUGAGUCAGGUGUCCUUGUGCCUGCUGUUCUCCAGUGCUUUUAACAAGAAGGCUUCCUCCUUCAAAAUGGCAAGCUUGAGUGUGGCAAGGUCUCUCCCUUCUGUGGUUGGAUUAUGGUUGUCCAACAAGGGUGUACAUGAGUAUAUGUGCACUGUGUGUAUUAUGUAGUGCCCAUAAAACCCGAAGAGGGUAAGAUAUUCUAGAUCUUGAGUUGCACAUGACUGUGAGCUGACUUGGAAGUGUUGAAAAUAAGUGAAGGUCCUCUGCAAAGGCAGCCAGUGCUCUCAAACCCUGAGCGAUCUCUCUAGUUCCUGCUCUGAAGGUUUUCUGAUGUCCUGUUGAUUACUGUCUGCUCCACCAGCCUGUUCCACAGGAAUCAGUCUUAUGAUUGUGUAGCAUCACAACACCAAAAAUAGUUUAAUCUCUGACUGGAUGCCUUUAAUGAUUUUACAAAUGAUAAAAAUUGACUAUAUUUGUUUUUGAAUAUUAACAGUGCCUCUGGAACUAAACUCAGAUCAUCAGCUAUUCCUUUCACCUCUGAACAAUCUCAAAAGCUCACACUGUAUAUUCUGUUCUGUCCUCAGUGUACCAUGUAUUUCUGUAAUCACCAGCAUUGUUAAAGCAAGCCAAAUGAGAUUUCUAAAAUCUUCAGAUUUUGAAAUUUACAUUCACACAUAGCUUGUGCUACACAUCAUUAAUCCCCCCUUUCAGGAGAGAGCAGGUCUCGUUACUUCAAAACCACCCUUGUGUACAGGGUGAGUUUUAGGACACCUUCAGUUUGUGGUGACACUCUGUCUCAAAUUAACCACACAACAACAACAACCCAACCACACUCACACAGAAACACAUGCAUGGAACACACACACACACACACACACACACACACACACACACACACACACACAGCACUGUCCAAUUGCUAUCGUUCUCAUUCCUAAAGUGAACUUUCAGUGUAACUGUACUUUAACCUCAACUUCCUCAGUCCUUCCAGUCUGCAGGCUUCUCUUAAACCCUGAGGAAUUGGCAACUGACAUCAGACCGGUUUCUACUUCCUGGUGGGGUAAUUGGUUUGUGUUGUUUUGUUAUUUUUACUCCCUUAGCAGACCUCCCUAGGCUCUGAGAAGAUUCCAUUCACUUCCUUCAGAGGACUUUAGUGUUUUUAAGUCAUACUCAACAAAGUAAGAAACCAUUUGUUCUGACUGCAGCAUUUAGGAUCAUGUUGAAUAGGUACCAGCAGAAUGUACGCUGUUUAAGAAGUAGGUCUGUGGGUUAGGACUAGGUGUAAUUUCAUCUGCUGAGUGAAUGAGUGUUUGCUUCAUGUCCUUGCCCCUUUUGCCUUCUGUGGUAUUUUUAUUCCUGAAGACUAAAGGGUUUGAGUUUGGGUUGGAUCCUUCUGUGAUUUCAGUGUCCAAUACCUCUAGACCUAUACUGUAAGUAUGACCAGAUUAACAGGGCUGUUGAUUUUCCAUGGAGAUGCUUGUUUACAUUUUUACUUAAUCCACAUCUUAUGUGAAAGAGGAGGGAGAGCAGCUUGCUGGCUCUGCAGCAACACACAAAGACCCAGAGUGAAGGUUCUCUCUGUUACUGAUUCGAAUUCCUGAAUCACCAUGACAUUUUGCAUGAGCUAUCCUCCACUGUCUCGGGCAUUUGAGUACUCCUUUCCCAGUUGGUGACUCUGUUUGGGAAGAUUCAGGAGGUGUGCCCUUGCUGGAGAAAGAAUGUCAGCGGGGCUGGGCUUUGAGGUUUUUGUGCUUUUGCACCACUCCCAAUGCACCAUCUGCUUUGUACUUGUGAUUCUAGAUGUCAUACCUCAGCCUCCUCCUCCUUCCACCAUGCCCUGUAGUCAUGGAACUUAACCUCUGCUAACACACGUUCUCUGAAAUAGAAUCACUAAUGUCCUACUUGUUUUAUAGUUUGCUGUGCUCAUGGCAUUUCUGUCACAGAAAUGCAAAUGUAACUAAUGCAGAAGGUGACUUAAUGGAGUGGACUCUUGCUGUGUGACACCUGACGAUGCCAGGUUGUACUUGUUUCUUGUUUUGGGAAAUGUGUAAGAAUUCCAGUGCUCUAAGAUGAGUUUAAUGGGCUACACUGGCAAGAACUUGGGAGUCAGGAGUGCCAAGAGCUAUUCAGACUGUGGAAGCCCAGGAGAAGGGGAUUCAGAAGGAAAAAAAAUGUUUGUAACUGGUCUAGGAUAAUUCCUAUGAGGCUUUUACAAAAAUGUGGCUUCCUUUCUGCCCACAUCCUAAAAACUUACUUGAGGCUAAAUUCAAAAAUAAUAAACAAAUUUCUUUGAUGAAAAUUUGAAGAGAGCCCAGUAUGGCCUCUGUCAUACUGUGCUUAUACUCUUCAAUGAAAAAUAGCAAAUGGGGCAAAAAGAAAUACAAAAUGUACAGUUUACAGAGAAAAAGACACUGGGAAUACUAAUAUUAUAGCCAAUGCCUAUACCAGAAGAGAGCCUGAAAUUGCUUGGAGAUUAGCAUCUUAAUAAGAGGCCAUGUCUCCUCAGGUGAAGACAUCACUCAACUAACUUAGUAAUCUGUGGUAGAAAAUGACUUACUUAGAGUUUUCCUGCUAUUAACAGACACCAUGACCAAAGCAACUCUUAUAAGAAGAACAUUUAUUUGGGUUUGGCUUACAAGUUCAGAAGUUUGGCUCAUUAUCAUCAAGGUAGGGGCAUGGCAGCAUCUAGGCAGACAUGUUGCAGGAGGAGCUGGGAGUUCUACAUCUUCAACUGAAGGCUGCUACUAGAAAACUGAUUUUCAUGCAGCUAGGACAAGGAACAUAAGGGUCACAUCUACAGUGACACACUUCCUCAAUCAAGGCUACACCUAUCCAAUGAGGGCUCAUCUGCAAAUAGUCCCACUCCCUGGGCUCAGCAUAUUCAAAUCAACACAUGAACAUUAGGUAUUUUUAGUUCCUGAUAUAACUUUUGAUCACAAACUGCUGCUGCUAUGGUUCAUGGGGUCCAGGUCUUCUAGAAAUCAAGCAUCUUCUCAUGUACUCUCAUCAGUCACUGGAAGUAAGGAAGCUCAAGAAAGGACUGCUGUGUGGUCUGAGACAGCUGAGAAAGUCUGCUUGAGAAGGUGUGUCAAUUUUCUUCUCUACAUGGAGAUAGUAUGGAGGUUACCUGACCUUAUCUGGCCAGUUUUCAUGUUUGGAACCCCUGGACCCUAUUCAUUGUCAGGUAGGAAAGUGUCAUUUGGCACUCAAUGACAACUUGUGCCUAUCGUGUACCCAAUGUUGAUAGAUGACUUAAGAAUGUAGGUUUGAAAGGUGUCCAGUUCUAUCUGGGAAGGAGAACAGCAGGCCUGAGAGGAACAGGCUUCAUGUGCAGAGGGAGGUAUCAUCUGUACGUGGGUGGGAGAAGUUCAGAGACGGUUAGUCAAACCUGUGUAUCCAGGAGAGCUCAGUUAACUGUGGAAACAAUAAGAGUAAAGGUAACUUUGAACUUGGAGGAAGAAAAGAUUUGUUGCAACUGUUUGUGGACUGUGCUUCAGAGAUGAUGAGACAUAGAGAAGCUCUGUCUUGGGUUCAUGGCACUAAGCAUGCUAGCUGAGUACUUCACAUCUUAAGUUGUGUAUGAUUUUAGGGGUCUUACACAGAGGUUAUCACCUUAUCUACCAAGAGCAUCUUGCUUUACUUCUAGCAGUCACAUGAAUUUAAAUUUCCUACUUGUUUGUGUUCUUAAAAACUCACUGAUUAGUUUUAGCUGAGCCUCCUGGGAGACUUUGCUCUUAAGUGCUGUAAGUUUUACAUAUUUGGUGAUUAACAUAAAUAACUAUACAUAGGUCAAUACAGGGCCCACACUGACAUCACCUUGCUAUCUGGAGCUGUUAGCUCCUAGGCCAAGGUUCUCAAAUGUCUCUGCCUCAGAAAGAAAUGUGGUAGUUUGAUUUCAUAAUCUACUCACAUUCCUUUUGUCACCCAGGAUAUCUGCUAGAAUGAGAGGAUUCUGUCCCAUGCAGGACAAUCUAGAUACUGCUCCCCCAGCAGGAAUGAAAGGGCCACUUCCUGCCUCUCAGGGGAAGUCCCUGGUGUUCACUGUAAUGUCACCCAACAAUCCCACCUUGAAUCUGCUGUUCCACUUGAGCCUGGAGCCUCCCUUUUAUUCUGGGAGAUAAACAGGUAUCUCCAGCUAGGCAGAGUGGUUCAAACAUGAGAUUUCGUGAGGGCAGUGAGAGUGGUGUAUACACAUUGAGGGUUUCAGAUUGAAUGAUACUGAACUUAAUGUACUUCCUAUUAGAGUCAUCUGUGAGUGACAUGUGAGCUUUGUAUUAAAAUUUACUUUUACGUCCAAGAUUUCAUGGUAUGUCAAUGCCCUACUUGCUUUUGAAGAUGUCCAAGGAACUGGAUAUAAAAGAGAAAAUACAAAUCAGAAAAUGUUCCUAGGUGUACAGCACUUGUUUAGAUGUGCAAGUCCCAGUGCUCAACUCCAAGAGCACACAUUAUGCCUUAGAAAUAGAUGAUAAGCUCUCUCUCUCUCUCUCUCUCUCUCUCUCUCUCUCUCUCUCUCUCUCAUGAGUGUGUGUGUGUGUGUGUGUGUGUGUGUGUGUGUGUGUGUGUGUGUGCUUGUAUAUGUAUGUGAGAACCUGAAGGUGAGCCCAGGGUCUGCGUGGUCCAGUUGGUACAAGGAUCCCACAUUGUUUGACUCUCAUGUAGACAAGUAUAAUGUUGUUGGGGUGACCAGCAUAUAAACAUUGGGACACGAGAGAACUAUUUACAAAGCCAACAGUUUUGACUGAUUUAUGUGAAUUAGGGCAGAUUUGAGAGCACACUUAAGAGAUUUAAACUGUGUUUGAGAAAAUUUUAUAUAUAUAUAUAUGUAUACACACACACACACACACACACACAUCAUAUCCCUGUACACCCCUUGGUUGGUGGUCUAUUUUCUGGAAGCUCUGGGUCAUCAGCCAGCAUAUGUUGUUCUUCCUAUAUCGCAAGACCUCCUCUGUCACAGGACAUCCAUUGUUUAAGCACCACCACUACCUCAGGAAGUCCACUGUCUGUGUGUCAACUCCACUGUUACAGGACUUCAAGUGUCUCAGUAUCUCAACUAUCACAGGACUUCUACUGUGCCGGAGCUCAAGUGUCUUACAACGUCCAAUGUCAUAAGAUCAUCAGUGUCACAAGAACUCCAUUGUCUGAGGAACUGCACUGUCCAAACAACACUAUGAUUGCAGGACAUCCACUGUGGAAACACCUCUACUAUAGUAGGGCCUCCACUAUCCAUAUAUCAACUCGACUGUCACAGAUCACCCAUUGCUGCAGGACCUCCACUGUCACAGGACCUCCACUGUAGGAACACUACAACUGUCGCAGGAUCUCCAGUGUCUUAUAACCUGCUCUAUCCCAGGACUUCCACUGUUGUAGCACCACCAUGGUCACAGCAACUACACUGUUUCAGGACAUCAACUGAAGCAGGACCUCCAAUGAUGCUCCAACUUCUCUGUCACAUGAUCUCUACAGUUACAGGAAUACACCUGUAUCAUCAAUUCCAACAGCUGGACCUCAGUUGUCACAGGACCUCCACUGUAGCCGAACCUUCAAUUUUGCAGCACCUCCACUGUAGGUAGAAUGACCUCCCCUAUCGCAGUGCCUCCACUUUCAAAGGACCUUCACUGUCACAGAACCUGCACAAUUUCAGUGCCUCUGCUGUUGCAGGACCUACCUCUUCACAGGAUCUGCACUGUUGCAGCAACUCUAAUUGCACUUUUACAAAGGCAUUACUGGUUAUUAGAUUUGAGGCUGAAUGGAAUGUGAUGUUACUUUCGCAAACAUAAGAAUUUGUUCUGUGCCUCUUGUGAUUAAUGCCACAUGUGCUAGGACCAGUAACUUAUGGAAAGAUUCCAUGAGGUCAUAGCACUCUCCACCUCACCUUGUGGAAACUGGUGUUUUCAGAGGAUGAUAAACUUCAGGUGAAGGGAUGCAGUCAGCAAGACCACGCUCUAGAGUGGGGUACACAGCGGUCAUAUUGAGUCCCUGCUGGGAAGAAAUCCAGAAGAGGGAGAAGGCUUGGGUUAGAGGAAGAAUCGUAAAAUAUUUAGAGAAUAUAAGAAGGUAAGAAUUAUGGGGAACUGGAAAACAGGGACAGAGGAAGAAUGAGCACAGAGCAAACUGGGAUGGACAAAGCACAAAUGUACCUGGGUUGUGCCUUCUGCAUGUUCUCUGGACGAUCGCCUUGUGCCUCAUUUCUGGGAGAACACUCUCUUCUCCCCAUAUAAAGUUUGUUUCUUGAAAGAAAGCAGCAACACAACUUCAUCAGUGAAUUCCCUAUUGAAAUUUGUUCGUUCCUUCAAAGCCUCUGGGAAGGCCCUAGCUGGGGAAAGUUCUCUCUGCUGAGAAACAGCAGGAAAGUAGGUUGUCCUCUGUGUUCUCAUUGCUACUGCUCUUCUAAGUGUGGUUGAUUGUUGAUUGAAGACACAGGGCACUUCCAGCAUGUAUGUAUGCUUUAUUCAGUGUGGGUGGCAUUGGCUGUAUCCUGAAAAGAAGGGCAGACCCUUCUGCCUCCUCUUUGACUAGGCUUAAGAUCAUAGUCAGACACUUAACCAUUGGAAGAUGAGACCAAUGUGUCUACAGUGUACUCACUUCUAUUCCUCUUUAGUCCUAGAGGGAAAUCAGUGCCAUCAGCAAGGGUGGGGAAUGGGGCCCUAACUGGACAAACUUGCUGAGCCUGGGUUAUGCAGCCAUGCCGGUGAAUAGCUUCCCCUUACAUUAAGUAAUAAGAUGCCAUGCUCUGGUUGUACCUUCCCUGAUACAGUGAAUCUAUAAUCUCUUGGCCUCAAAACCCAAUAUAUUACAUUGCUUUCACAAGUGGAGUGUCUGGCAUGAGAGGGAUCAUUUCCUCAUAGGGAUUUGGGAACCACUUACAGUCUUCAUUGAGCAUGGGUGUGUCAUCACCUAUGUGACUGUUAGCCCAUAUCUGUGAUUCACUGUCAUUAGGAGGCUAAGCUGCCUCUUCUGACACCCCACAGUGGGCCGGAUACACACCACUCACAACCUGUCUCCUCAGCUCUUGUAUGACAAAAUGUAACCCUACUCCUAAGUCCAUAUGUUGGGUUUAUUUUGUUUUUGGAACAUCCUAACGUUUUCCUAGGAAGAGAUCAGGUGCACCAUUAGGAUAAGCACCAUGCUGCCAGUUCAGCAUUUGCCCAAAUUUGACUUGCCUUGAAGGCCAAAGUUGAUGAUUUUGACUUUUCCAUUCUUCUCUAACAGAAUAUAAUCUGGUUUCAGGUCACUGUGUACUUUUACAGUGCCCAUAGCCGUAGAUUAAGCCUGCUAAUAUUUACCCAAAUAUUUCCUUGACCCUGUACUCCUCUAAGGGGAAAGACUUUCAAAUGUAUUUGUAAAGCUGUAAAAUUUCAACCAGUUUCAUGAUAAGUUAUUAGACUUGUCUCAGACUCAAUUGGAGAAGCAAGAUGAUGUUGGGGUGGAUGAAAAUCUUCAUUAUAUUUGCCAUGGUCAUGUUUGGCUGGCACCAUUGCUUCUUCUUUGCAUGCACUUUGAUAACCCCUGUAGCAGAACUUCCACUGUCCCAGCACCUGCACUAUCCCAAGAUCUCCACUCUCACCAGACCAAUAUUGCAGUAGGACGUCUGCGGUCAGGCAACUCCACUGUCUCAGACCCUCCAAAUUGCAAGACCUUUACGGGCAUUGGAAGUUACUGUCCCUAAACUUCCACUGUUGGAGUACCUCAACUGUAACAAGGAUCUCUAUCAUUGCAGAACCCCCUUGUCAUAUCACCUCUACAAUUAAAAGAAGUCCACUGUCAAAUGACCUCCAGUGUCUCAGCCCCUCCACUGUUGCAGGAUCUCUACUGUCUCAGGAUCACUACUGUUGCAGGACCUCCCCUCUCUCAGCAGCUCCAAUUUGCAGGAGCUCUCCUAUCAGAGGACAUUUACAUUUUCUGUACUUCCAGUGUCACAGCACCUCAACUGUUAAAAGAAUUUCCAUACUCACAAGACCGCCAAUGUCUCAGUAACUCCACUGUCCUAGGACCUUUAUGUUAUAGGACUUCUGCUGACACAAGAUGUCCACUGUUGCUAGACUUCCACUGUUAUAACCACUCAACCAUUACAAGGACCGCAAUUUUGGCAUGACCUCCACUGUCCCAUCCCCUCCAGUGUCAUAGGACCUCCACUCUCACAGGAUAAUCCACUGUCUCAGCAAGGCCAAUUUUCAGGACCUCUACUAGGACAGGAUAUCCAUGGUAGCUGGACGUACAAUGUUGAAGUAACUCAACUGUUGCAGGACCCACAGCGUUGCAGGACAUGGACCCUCUCAGCUUCUAGAAUUUGCAGGACCUCUACUGGCACAGAAAUCCCACUGUUGCUGGAGAUCCACUAUCAUUGAAAAUGCGUUGUCUCAUGAUAUUCACUGUUGCUGGACCAAUAGUGUGGCAGCACCUCCAUUUUAUCGAAACCCCUCCACUGAUGCAGGAUCUCCACUUUUGUCGUACCUUCACUGUCCAAGCAAACCAACUAUUUCAGGAUCUCCAGUGUCUCAGGGCAUUCACUAAUGCCCGUCCUCCAACGUUGUAGGAUAUCCACUUUCUCAACAGCUACACUUUGGCAGGACCUCUAUUGGCAGAGAAAGUCCACUGUUGCUGGACCUCCACUGUCAGUGCAAAUGCACUCAUUCAGGACCUCUACUUUUCUAAGGACCUCUAAUAUUGCAGGACCUCUAAUGUCCCAGGACCUCAAGUGAUGCAGCACCUCCUUUGUCCCAUCACCUUUACUGUCCCAGAACCUCCACUUUCCCAAGACCUAUUCUGUUGCAGGGCCUCCAAAGUUGGAAGAACUGCACUGUAUCAAGACCUCAACUAUUGCAGGACCUCCACCAUUUUAGGAACACAAAAGUUACACUGUCCAUCACCUUCACUCUCUUAGCACCUCCACUCUCACAGGACCUACACUGUUGGCAGGAACUCCAAUGUCUAUGCAACUGCACUGUCUCAGGACCUCAAUGAUCCAGAACCUCCAAUGGUGCAGGACCUCCACUGUCAUGGACCUCCACUGUCUCAGGACAUCCACUCUAUCACCACCUAGACUUUUGCAGGACCUCUACUGGCCCAGGAUCUCCAUUGUUGCUGGUCUUACAUUGUCUAAAGACCUCUACUAUCGCAGAAAUGCCACUGUUGUAGAACCUUCACUGUCACAGGGCCUCCACUGUCCAAGACCUCCACUGUUGCAGAACAUCCACUCUUGCAGCAUGUGCAUUGUCUCCUGACCUCCACUACGGCAGUCAAAUCUCCACUGUAUCGUGACUUCCACUCGUGCAGGUCUUCCAAUGUUGCAUGACCUCCAAUGUGAAAGUAACUCCACUAUCUCAGUGCCUCCACUGUUACAGGACCUACACUGUCAGAGGAUCUGCACUGCUGCACCAGCUCCACUGUCACAUUUUUGAAAGCAUUGCUUGUUGUUAGUGUUGAGGCUUCAUGAAAUGUGAUGCUACCUCUGAAAAGUUAAGAAUUUCUUCUUCAGCUCUUGUGAUUAAUGUCCAGAUGUGCUAGAUCAGUAGCGCCUAGAAAACUCAAUGAGCCGAUAGCCUUCGAAGCCUCACUUUGUGGGUUCUGUUGUCUUUUGGGAGUGCUAAAGUCCAGGUGAAGGCAUGCGGUCAGAAGGAUAACUCUAGUGUGGGGUACACAUCAGUUGUGUUGAGUUCCUGCUGGGAAGGGUAGAAAUCCAGAACUGAAAGAAGGCUUAGGGUGGAGUAAGAAUCAUACAAUGCUAGAAUAGGUGAAACAGAAACAAUUUUGCAGAAAUGGAAACCAGAGACACAGGAGGAACCAGCACAGAACAAACUGGGUAGGACAAAGCACAAAGGUACCUGCGCUGAGCCUGCCUGCUGCUUGUUCUUUGGAUGUACUCUAGCCUUUAUUUCUCAGGAGAGACACUGUGCUGUCCCAGGAGAGUUUUCUUGCUUCAUUGAGCACAGGAAUACUGCUUGAUUUGGAUAUUCCUAAUUUCUUGGUCCACCCUGUAAAUCAUCUGAGCAUGCUCCUGCUUGGGACAGUCUUGCCCUCUCCUGAGGCCCAGAGGGAUAAUAGGAUGUCUUCUGUGGUUUCAUUGCUGCUUUCGUUCUCCCUGAGGCUGCUUGUUGACUGAAGGCAGAAGACACCCUGCCAUGUAUGUUUUGGCCAGUGUGCUGUCACCUGGAGUGGCCUGAAGAAAAGGCCAGUCCCAGUGGUUCUUCUGAAUCUUCUAUGACUAGAGUUAUGGACAUAGGCAUAAACGAGGCCAUGGGGAAUGACAAGUUCAAUGUGCCAAUGGUGGGUUGGUUUCCACUCCUCUGAAGUCCUAGAGGGAAAGCAGCAUAAUCUUUAAGGGUAGGGAAUGGAGCCCUAACUGGACUCAAUGAGGGAGCCUGGUUGUGAAGCCAGCACCUGGAUAGCCUGCCCUUUCAGUAAGCCAUUGGACGCCAUUAUCCGUUAAUAAUUUUUUUUUGAUUUAAAGAAUCUUUAUUUCUUGGGCUUAGAACUGAAUAUAUUACAUCACUUCCACAAUUCUAGGGUGUGGCCUGAGGUAUCAUUUCCUCAUAGGGAUUUGGGAAACCCUCCCAUUAUUUGAAGCAAGGUUGCAUUAUGAGGUUUGUGACUGUCAGCCUAUAUCUGGGGUUUACUGUGAUUAAGAGAUAAUGAUGAUGGUUGACCAUCAUAAACGUUGACAAAGAGGAGUUCAGGGGCAACAGAAGUGUAAGCACCAGAGUGGUGCUUCAGCAUUUGCCCUGGUUCAACUCGGGUACUAAGGCGAAAUUCGAUUAUUUUGUUUUUUUCCAUUAAUAUCCAAGAUAAAUACUAUUUGGCUUCAGGUCCCUGUGAAAUAUUGUGUGCCCAGGGCAGUAGUUCAUCACUGCUAAUAUUUGCAAUAUAUUUUACUGACUUGUCCUGCUUUAGGUAGCCAUACUUUUGGAUGUAUUUGUAAAACUGUUGAGCUUCAACAAGCUCCAAGACAAGAUAUAAUAUUGUUUUGGUCUCAAUUAUUUGAAGAAGCCACGUGAUGUUGGGGUUGUCACCCAUUAUCAUCACUGCCAUGGUCAUUACUGGCUGGCAUUAUUAUUUCUCCAUUACAAGGACUUUGACAGCCACUGUCACAGGACCUAAUCUGUGGUAGAACCUCCACUCUCAGGCAACUCCACUUUCUAAGGACCUCCAAAUUGCAGGACCUCCCCUGACAUAGAAUGUACAUUUUUGCAGGACUUUCACUCUUGUAGCAACUCAACUCUUAAAAGACAUCCACUUUAGCAAGAUUUCCAGUGUCUUAGCACCUCCCUUCUUGAAGGACCCCCACUAUUGUAGGACCUCCACUGUUGCAGCACAUCCAUUCUCUCAGCAUCUAGAAUUUUGCAGAAUGUCAACUGGCAUAGAAAGUCCACAGUUGCUGGUUCUUCAAUGUCAUGAUAAAUCCACCGUAUCAGGACCUUCACUGUUGCAGGACCUCCAGUGUUGAAGCACAUACACUGUUUCAGGGCCACCACUAUCACAGGACCUUCUCUGUCACAGGAUCGCCACUCUCUCAGCACUUAUGCAGUCACAGGACCUUCAUUGCUUUGGACCUCCACUCUUGGAGAACCUCCACUGGUCAAGCACAUCCACUAUCUCAGAAACUCCAGUGUCUCGGGACAUUCACUGUUGCAGGAUCUCCCAUGUCUUAGCACACUUAUUUUUGCAGGACCUCCACUCUCCCAGACUCAUCUCUACUGUCUCAGGACCUACACUAUAACUGUUGGACCUCUAAUGUCACAGGACCUCAAAUGACACUGGAUCUCCACUGUCCAAUCACCUUAACUGUCCCAACUCCUUCACUGUCGCAGGACCUACACUGUUGCAGGACCUCCAAUAUCGGACCAAUUUCCUGUCUCAGGGACCUCCAAUGUUGCAUGACCUCCACUGUUAAAAGAUAUCCACAGUUGCAGGAUAGCUAGUAGAGUUUUGCAGGACCUGUAGUGGCCCAGGACCUCCAUUGCUGAUGGUCCUCCACUGUCUCAGUACCUUAACUAACACAGAACCUCCACUGUUGCAGCACCUCCACUGUCCUAGGAUGUCCACUAUUGCAGACAACCUCAGUCUUAAGUACCUCCAUUUUUGAAGGACCUCCAUGGUGCAGGACCCCCACUCUUAGAGUGCCUCCAUUGUUGUAGCACCUCCACUGUCCCAGCCUCAUCUCCACUGUCUCAGGACCCAUAUUAUUGCAGGAUCUCCAAUGUUGCUGGACUUCUACUGUUGCAGUACCUCCAGUGUUGCAGGACCUACACCGUAGCAGGAUCUGCACUGUUGCACCAAUUCUACUUUCACAUUUUGUUGACAUUGCUGGUUAUUAGAUUUGAGUCUUAAUGGAAUGGGAUAUUACUUUUGAAAACACAGGAAUUUUUUCUGCAUCACAUGUGAUUGAUGACCACAUAUUCUAGGACUGAUACCCCUGGAAGAUUCCAUGAGCCCUUAGUCCACCAGUCUUCACCUGGUCGGAGGUGUUGUGUUUUGGGAGAAGUUGAAUCCAGGUUAAGGGAUGGGAUCAGCAGGACACAGUUCUGUAGAGUGGGCUACAUAUCAGUCAUAGUGAGUCCCCUCUGGGAUGAGUAGAAAUCCAGAACUGAGAAAAUGCUAUUACAGGACCUCCAUUGUCUAAACACCUCCACUAUUGCAGAACCUCCACUGUCCAUACAUCAACCAGCUCCACUGUCCCAGAGCCUGAGAUGUUGAAGAAUCUCCACUGUCACAGGACCUCCAUUGCUGCAGGACCUCCACUGUCACAGGACCUCCAAUGACUCAGCAACUACACUUUUGUAGGACCAGCAUUGGCACAGGAUAAGCACUGUUGGCAGGCCCUCCACUAGCCUAUAACCUCCACUGUCCCAGAACUUCCACUGUUGUAGCACUACCAGGGUCAAAGCAACUACACUGUUUCAGGACAUCAACUGAAGCAGGACCUCUAAUGAUGCUGCAGCUUCACUGUCACAGGAUCUCUACAUUUACAGGAAUACCACUGUGUCAGCAAUUACAAUUUUGCAGGACCUCAGUUGUCACAGGACCACCGCUGUAGCCAAAUCUUCAAUUGUGCAGCAUCUCCACUGUAGGUAGAAUGACCUCCCCUAUCGCAGCGCCUCCACUUUCAAAGGACCUUCACUGUCCCAGAACCUGCACUAUUUCAGUGCCUCCACUGUUACAGGACCUACCUCUUCACAGGAUCUGCACUAUUGCAGCAACUCUAAUUACACUUUUUCAAAGGCAUUACCAGUUAUUAGAUUUGAGGAUGAAUGGAAUGUAAUGUUACUUUUGAAAACAUAAGAAUUUGUCCUGUAUCAUUUGUGAUUAAUGGCCACAUGUGCUAGGACCAGUAACCUAUGGAAGAUUCCCUGAUCUGAUAGCUCUGUAGCCCUCAUCUUGUUGAAGCUGUUGUGCUUAGAGGGUCAUACAGUUCGGGUGAAGGGAUUGGAUCAGCAAGACAACUCUGUGGAGUGGAGUACAAUUAAGUCGUAUUGAGUCCCAGCUGGGAAAAGGAGAAAUCCACAAGACGGAGAAAGCUUGUGGUGGAGGAAGAAUCGUAAAGUACUUAGAGAGUAUAAGAAGGUAAGAAUUGUGGGGAAAUGGAAAACAGAGCCAAAGGAGGAAUGACCACAAAGCAAAGUGGGAGGGGUAAAGCACAAAGGUACCUCGGUUGUGCCUUCUGCUUGUUCUCGGGGUGCUCUCGCCAUGCCUCAUUUCUGAGAGAACACUGUUCUGCCUCAUGUAAGGUUUCUUUCUUGAUGUAAAGCAGAAACACAACUUCAGGGAUUCUCUCAUCUUCUUGGUCCAUCCUUUAAGUCCUCUGGGAAGGCCCCAGCUGGGGAAAGGCCUGCUCUCAGCUGACAAACACCUGGAGAAUAGGUUGUCCUUUAUGUUCUAAUUGGUGCUGCUCUUGUAAGUGUGUCUGCUUGCUGAGUAAAUGCAGGGAAACCUCUGUCAUGCAUGUAUGCUUUGUCCAGUGUGGCUGUCAUCGGAAGUGUCCUGGAGAGAAGUGCAGUCCAGUGACUCUUCUGCUUCCUUUUGACUAGCCUCAUUAUUAUAGGCAGACAUUAGACCCUUGGAAGAUGAGGAGACCAAUGUGUCUAUGGUGUUCUCAAUUCUACUCCUCUUCAGUCCUAGAGGGAAAUCAGUGCCAUCACAAGGGGUAGGGAAUGUUUGCCAUAACUGGACAAACUUGCUGACCUUGGGAUCUGCAGCAAUGCCCAUAGAGAGCCUGCCCUUACAGUAAGCAAUGGGAUGCCACGGUCUGGUAAUAUUUUCUUUGAUGUAAUAUAUCUAUAAUACCUUAGGCUCAAAACCCAAAAUAUCCAAUUGCUUCCACAUUAGCAGUGUCUGGCAUGAGGGGGAUCAGUUCCUCCAAGGAUUUGGGAACCACUUCCAGUCUUCAUUGACCAGGGGUACAUCACUACUUCUAUGACUAUCAACCCAUAUCUGGGGUUGACUGCCAUUAAGAUGCUACACAGAUCUCCAGCUCUUCGGACAUCCCACAGUGGGCAGGAUACACACCGGCCACAACAUGUCUUCUCACCUUUUUAUAACAACUGAGUCAAAUCCUACAACAGUGAAAUAUAAGCCUACUCCUUAACUCAAAUAUUGUUCUUUGUUCCAUUACAAUGUUUGCCUAGGAUGUAAUAACAGGCAUCAAAAUUGUAAACACCGUAGUGCCAGCUCAUCGUUUUCUCAGGUUCAACUUUGCUAGGAAAGGCCAAAGUUGAUGAUUUUGACUUUUCCGUUCUUGUGUAACAAAAUAUCACUCGAUUUCAAGUCUCCGUGAACUACACCAUGCCCAUCACAGUAUAUCGAGUCUGCUAAUAUUUGCCUAAAUAUUUCCCUGACCUUGUCUUCCUCGAGGUGGCAAGACUUUCAGAUGAAUUUGUAAAGCUAUAGAAUUUCAACCAUGAGAAGGUAUAGAUGUGUCUCAGACUCAAUUACUUGGUGAAGCAAUAUGAUAUUGGUGUGGAUGAAUAUCUUCAUUAUAUUGGCCAUGCUCUUGUCUGACUGGCACCCUUGCUGCUUCUUUGCAUGCACUUUGAUAACCACAGUAGCAGGACUUUCACUGUCCCAGACACUGCACUAUCCUAAGACCUCCCUUGUCACAGGACCUCCACUGUGGUAGUACCGCAGCUGUCAGGAAACUCCACAGUCUCAUUACCUCCAAACUGCAAGAUCUCUACUGGCACAGGAAUUGUACUGCCCCUGGACUUCCACUGUCACAGCACUUCAACUGUUACAAGGACCUCUACUGUUGUAAGACCUCCUAUAUCACAGCACCUCCACGGUGACAAGGACCUGCAUUGUCAAAAGACCUCCAGUGUCUCAGCCCCUCCACUGACUCAGGACUUUCAAAUUGCAGGAACUCUACUAGCACAGGUCAUCCACAGUUGCAGUUCCUCAACUGUUAUAAGGACCUCCAUUUUUGCAGAACCUUCAGUGUCCGUGCACCUUCACAGUCUCAGCAACGCCAACUUGCAGGACCUCUACUAGCACAGGAUGUCCACAGUAGGUAUACUUACACUGUUGCAUUACCUCAAUUGUUGCAGGACCUCCGAUGUGGUAGGACAUCCACAUUUUCCGCAGCUAGACUUUUGCAGGACCUCUACUGGCCCAAAAAAAUUCCUCUGUUCUGGACCUCCACUGACAGUGCAAAUGUACUGUCUAGGACCUCCACUGUUGCAAGACCUCCAAUGUUGAAGGAUGUCCAUUGUUUUAGGACAUUCCCUGUCAAAGAACCUCAACUGACACACAACCUCUGCUUUUGUAGGAUUUUCACUGUCCUAGAAAACCAAGUAUUGCAGGAAUUAUAAACUUGGAGCAACUGCAUUGUAAUAGGACAUUUACUCUUGCAGGACCUGCAGUGUGGUUGCACCUCCAUUUUAGCCAGGUCUCAACUGUACCAGGCUCAUCUCUGCUGAAUCAGCACCUCCAAUAGUGCAGGACAUCCAAUAUUGCAGGUCUUCAAAAAUCCCAGGACCCCAAUUGAUGAAGGACUUCCAAUAUUGCAGGACCACAAUAGUCACAGGUCCUCCACUGUCCCAUCACUUUUAUUUCUCCCAGCACCUCCACUCUCACAUGGCCUACAAUGUUGCCUAAACUCCAAUGUCUGAGCAACUACACUGUCUCAGGACCUCGAUUGUUCCAGAACCUCCAAUGGUGCAGGACCUCCACUGUCACCAGAUCUCCACUGUCUCAGAACAUCCACUCUAUCACCGACUAGACUUUUGUAGAACCUCUCCUGGCAUAGCAUCUCCAUUGUUCCCAGCCUUACAUUGUCUCAAAACCUCCACUAUCACAGGAGUGCCACUGUUGUAGAACCUCCACCGUAACAGACCUCCACUGUUGGAGGACCUCCCCUGUCUAAACACAUCCACUAUUGCAGGACCUCCACUGUCUAAGGAAUUCCGCUGUUCCAGGACAUCCACUCUUGCAGCACCUUCAUUGUCUCUGGACUUCCACUGUACCAGUCCCAUCUCCAAUGUCUCAGGACCUCCACUCUUACAGGACCUCCAAUGUUCACAACCUCAAAUACAAAACUGCACUAUCCCAGUGCCUCCACAGUUGCAGGCCCCAAACUGUCACAGGAUCUGCACUGUUUCAUUAAUUCCCCUGUCCCUUUUUUGAAAGCAUUGCUGGUUAUUAGUUUUGAGGCUUAAUGGAAUGUGAUGGUAUUUUUGAAAAAUUAACAAUUUUUCCUGCACAUCUUGUGAUUAAUUACCAGAUGUGCUAGGAUCAGUUGCCCCUAGAGGUGUGCACGAGCCCACAGCCCUCUAGACCUCACCUUGUGGCAGCUGUUUUGUUUCGGGGGUGUUACAGUCCAGGUGAGGGCAUGGGGUCAGCAGGACAACUCUGUAGUCCGGGGUACACAUCAGUCACAUUGAGUCCUUGCUGGGAAAAGGAGAAAUCCAGAAUAGGGAGAAGGCAUUGGGAGGAGGAAGAAACAGACAGUACUUACAGAAGUUAAAUGGAAACUAUUUGCAGAAAUGGAAACCAGAGACACAGGACGAAUCAGCACAGAGCAAACUGGGCAGGACAAGGCACAAAGGUACCUGGGCUGUGCCUGCCUGCUGCUUGUUCUUUGGAUGCUGUGUCUAUCCCUCAUUUCUCAGGACAGACACUGUCCUGUCCCAGGGGAGUUUUCUUGCAUGACGAACAAAAGAACACUGCUUCAUUUGGAUAUUCCUAAUUUCUUAGACCAUCUCUUAAAUCCUCUGGGCCAGGCCAUGCUGGGGACAGACUUGCCUACUCCAGAGGCACAGAGAGAUAAAAGCAAAGGGUAAUCAUCAUAGUGUUGGUUCUGUAUUUGCCCUAUAUCAACUUGGUUCAUAAGGCCAAAGACCAUGACUUUGACUUUUCCUUUCUUGUCCAAGAAAAUAUCAUGUAUUGUCUUCUGUGUUGUCAUUACUGCUUCUGUUCUCCCUGAGACUGCUUGUUGACUGAAGGCAGCAGACACUCUAGCAUGUAUUCUUUGUCCUGCAUGGGUGUCAUCUGGAGUGCCUGGAGGAGAAGGCCAGUCUCAGUGGUUCUUAAUCCUCUAUGACUAGCGUUAUGGACAUAGGCAGAAACGAGGCCAGGGGGGAUGACAAGUCCAAUGUGCCAAUGGUGGGUUGGUUUCCACUCUAAAGUCCUAGUGGGAAAGCAGCAUAAUCAUAAGGGUAGGGAAUGGAGCCAGUCUGAGACUGGUUGUGAAGCCAGGCACUUGGAUAGCCUGCCCUUCCAGUAAGCAAUUGGGGGCCAUGGUCUGGUUAUACUAUCUUUAAUAUAAAGAUUCUUUAUAUCUCGGGCUUAGAACUGAAUAUAUUUUAUUACUUUCCUCCCAUUCUUUGAAGCAGGAUUGCGUUAUUACAUCUGUGAUUGUCAGCUUACAUCUGGGGUUUACUGUUAGUAAUAGAAAAUUAUGAUGGUUGACCAUAAACAUUGACAAAGAAGAGUUCAAGGGCACCAAAAUUGUAAGCACCAUAGUGCCGGUUUAGCAUUUGCCCUGUUCAAUUGGGGUACUAUGGAUAAAGUUGCUGAUUGUUCCUUUUCCAUUGCAUUCCAACAUUAUAUUAUAUGGCUUCAGGUAGCUGUGAAACAUUGUGUGCCCAUGGCAGUAGAUCAUCACUGCUGUUCUUUGCAAAAUAUUUUCCUGACCUUGUCCUGUUCUAGGUAGCCAUACUUUUGGAUGAAUUUGGAAAGCUGUUGACCUUCAACAAGCUCCAUGAUGAGACAUAAUUUUGUUUUGCUCACAAUGACUUGAAGAAGUGAGAUCAUGUUGAGGUGGUUACCCAUUAUCAUUACUGCCAUGGUCAUUACUGGCUGGCAUCAUUGCUUCUACAUUAGCAGGACUUUGAUGUCCACUAUGCAGCAACUCCACUGUGAUAGAUACUCUGCUGUCUAGGCAACUCCACUUUCUAAGGACUACAAAUUUUAGGACAUCUACUAGCACAGGAUGUACACAUUUGCUGGACUUUCACUGUUGCAGCAACUCAACUCUUAAGGGAUGCCCACUGUUGCAGGUUUUCCAGUGUAUCAGGCUGCCACUCUUGAAGGACCUUCACUAUUGUAGGACCUCCACUGUUGAAGCACAUCGAUUAUAUCACCAACUAGAAUUUAUAGGAUGUCAAUUGGCACAGAAAGUCCACUGUUGCAUGACCUCCAUUCUCACUGUAAAUCUACUGUCUCAGGACCUCUACCUUUGUAGGACCUCCAGUGUUGAAGGAUUUCCACUGUUGCAUAUCCACCACUGUCACAGGACCUCCUCUGUCACAGGACUUCCACUCUUCCAGGCUCAUCUCCACUGUCUCAGGACGUCUACUAUAUCUCUAGGACCUCCAAUGACGCAGGACCUCAACUGACACUGGACCUUCACUCUCCAAUCACCUUAACUAUCAAAGAACCUCCACUGUCUCAGGACCUUCACUGUUUCAGGGCCUCCAAUGUUGGAGCAACUGUACUGCCUCAGGGGCAGGACCUCCAUUGUCACAGGGCCUCCACUGUCACAGGAUAUCAACUCUUUUAGACUUUUGCAGGACUUCUGCUGGCACGUGACCUCCAUUGUUGAGGGUUCUCCACAGUUUCAUUACUUUUACAUUGACAGGAAUACCAUUCUUGCAGAACCUCCACUGUCCCAGGACCUCCAGUAUUACGGACUUCCUCAGUCCAAGUAGCUCCAUUAUUGAAGGACAUCUCUGGUUGCAGGACAUCCACUUUUACAGUGCCUCCGUUGUUAUAGGACACCCACUGUUCCAGCCUAAUCUCCACUCUCUCAUUAUCUCCAAUAUUUUAUGAUUGCCAAUAAUGGUGGACUUCCAUUGUUACAGUAAUUCCACUAUCUCUGUGCCUACAUUGUUUCAGGACCUACACUGACUCAUGAUAGGCACAGCUGCAUCAAGUUCACUUUCAAUUUUUAUUGACAUUGCUAGUUAUUAUAUUUCACCCUUACUGGAAUGUGAUGUUACGUUUGAAAGCCCAAGAAUUUGUUUUUUUAGCACAUGUGACUGAUUUCCACAGGUUCUAGGACUGUUAUCCCCUGGAAGAUCACAAGAGCUCAUAUCCCUCUAUUCCUCACCUUGUGGGAGCUGUUGCCUUUCAGAAGGUAAUGCAAUUCAGGUGAAAGGAUAGGAUCAGCAAGUGAUAACUUUGUAGAGUGGGGUAUACAUCAGUCACAUUGAGUUCCUGAUGGGAAGAGGAGAAAUCCAGAACAGGAAUAACCCUUGGCAUAGAGGAAGAAUCAAACAGUACUUACAGAAGGUAAGAAGGUACCAAUUUUAAAGAAAUGGAAAUGAUAGAGGAAGAACCAGCACAGAGCCAACUGAGUAGGACAAAGCACCAAGGUACCUGGGCUGUACCUGGUCCUUGUUCUUUGCAUGCUAUCCUUAUUCGUUCUUUUUGGGGAGACUCUGUCCUGCCUCUUGUGAAGUUUCUUUCUUGAUGUAAAGCCAUAACAAAGGUUCAUCAGGGAACUUCCCCCAUUUCUUCCUCCAUCUCUUAAAGCCUCUGCUCCGACACCAGCUGGUGAAUAUCUUGCACUCUUCUGAAGCACAGACAGAGAAUAUGUUGUUUUUUCUGUUCUCAUUGAUGCUGCUCUUCUCCCUGAAGCUGCUCAUUCAGUAAAUGUGGGAGACAGUGUCUUUUGUCCAGUGUUGGUGUCAUCUGGAGUGGCCUGAAGAGAAGGCCAGUCCCACUGGGUCUUCCGCCUACUCUAUAACAAGCAUUUUGGAUAAAAACAGAAGUUAGACCAUUGAAAGAUGACGAAACUAAUGUGCUGAUGGUGGGCUGGCUUCUGCUCUUCUUUAUUCCUAGAGGGAAAGCAGCAUCAGCAUCAAUGUUAGGGAAUGGUGCCAUAACUGUUCUCACUAGGUGACACUGUGUUGUGCAGCCAUGUCCCUUGAUAGCCUGCCCUUGCAGUAAGCAAUAGGAUGCCAUGGUCUUGAUAUACUUUUUUUGGUACCUGUAGUAUCUAGGGCUUGGAACCAAAUAUAUUGUAUUGCUUCCACAAUUGCAAGUUCUGUCCUGAGUGUGAUCAGUUGCUCAUAGGGAUUUGGGAAUGCUUUUCUGUCUCUCUUGAACUAGAUUUGCAUGAUGGCGUCCAUGACUGUCAGCCUGUAUCUGGGGUUUACUCUCAUUAAGAACUUAUGCAGGUCAUCCAGCUCUUCUCAUAUCCCACAGGGGGCAGGAUUCACACAGGCUACAACCUGACUUCUCAGCCCUUUUAUGACUAGUCAAAUGAAACCUCUGACUACCAUGAAAUGUAAGACUACUCAUGUCUUCCCUGUGUCAUUCUUUGGACUAUCAUAAAAUUUGCCUAGAUAGAGCUCCACGGCAGCAAAAGGUAAUCAUCAUAGUGUCGGUUCUUUAUUUGCCCUAUAUCAACUUGGUUCAUAAAGCCAAAGACCAUGACUUUGACUUUUCCUUUCUUGUCCAAGAAAAUAUCAUGUAUUUUGAGGUUUCUUUGAACUAUUAUGUGACUAUGGCAGUAGUUCAUGUCUGAUAGUAUUUACCUAAAUGUUUCCCUGGUUUUGUUCUCCACCAACUGGCCAGCUGUUCAGACGUGUCUGUAAAACUGGUGACCUUCAAGUAGCGUCAUGACAAGGUAUUGUCUUGUUUCAGACUCAAUUACUUGGAGUAGUGAAAUGAUGUUGGAAUGGUCAAAAAUCAUCAGUACAUGUGCCAUCUUCAUUACUGGCUGUCACCCUUGCUUCUUCUUUACCAGCACUUUGACAGCCACUGUAGCAGGACAUCCACUGUUCCAGUAUGGUAAUGACCUAGCACCUCCACUAUCACCGUUCUUCCACUCUUGCAGGACCUCCACUCUUGCAGGACCUCCACUCUUGCAGCAUCUGCAUUUAGUCAGGACCUCCACUGUACCAGUCCCAUCUCCAUUUUCCCAGGACCUCUACUCAUGCUGGUCCUCCAAUGUUGCCUGACCUCCAAUGUAAAAGUACCUGCACUAUCUCAUUGCCUCCAGUAUUGCAGGACCUACAUUGUCACAGGAUCCACACUGUUUACUAAGUCCACCGUCACUGUUUUGAAGGAAUUGCUGGUUAUUAUUUUUGAGGCGUAAUGGAAUGUGAUGUUACUUCUGAAAACUUAAGAAUUUGUUCUUCAGCUCUUGUGAUUAAUUGCCAGAUAUGUUAGGAACAGUUGCCUCUGGAAGAUUCCAUUAGCCCAUAGUAGGCCUCUAGGCCUGACCUUGUGGGAGCUGUUGUAUUUUGGGGUGCUCUAAGUACAGAUGAAGGCAUGGGGUCAGCAGGACAAGUCUGUAGAGUGGGGUACACAUCAGUCAUAUUUAAUGCCUGCUGGGAACUAGAGAAAUAUAGAACAGCAAGAGGGCUUGGCAUAGACCAAGAAUCAUAUAGUACUUACAGAAGUUAAAAAGGAAACAAUUUUGAACAAAUGGAAAUCAGAGACACAGGAGGACCCUCAUAGAGUAAAUUGGGUAGGACUUAGCACAAAGGUACCUGGGUUGUGCCUGCAACUUGUUCUCUGGAUGCUCUAACUGUGCUUCAUUUCUCAAAAGAGACAAGGUGUUAUGCCUCAGGUGAGAUUUCUUUCUUGAUGGAGAGCAGCAACACAUUUCAUCAGGACAUUUUUUUAUGUCUUGUUCCAUCCUUAAAGCCUUUUGGAUGGCCACUACUGGGGACAGUGUUGCCCUCUCCUUAGGCACAGAGGAAUAAUAGGUUGUCUUCUGUGUUCUCAUUGCUGCUUCUUUUCACCCUGAGGCUGCUUGUUGACUGAAGGCAGAAGACACCCUGGCAUGUAUGUUUUGUCCAGUGCAGGUGUCCUCUGGAGUGGCCUGAAGAGAAGGCCAGUCUCAGUGGUUCUUCUGAAUCCUCUAUGACUAGAAUUAUGAACAUAGGCAUAAACAAGGCUAUGGGAGAUGACAAGUCCAACGUGCCAAUGGUGGGUUGGUUUCCACUUCUCUGCAGUCCAGGCCUAGUGUGGAAGUAGCAUACUCAUCAAGGGUAGGGAAUGGAGCCAUAACUGGAGUAACUGUCUGAGGCUGGUUGUGAAGCCAGGCACCUGGAUAGCCUGUCCUUACAGUAAUCAGUUGAAUGCCAUGAUCUGCUUAGACUUUCUUUGAUAUAAAGGAACAUUAUGUCUUGUGUUUUGAAUGGAACAUAUUGCAUUACGUCCAAAAUUCCAGGGUGUGGCUUGAGAGGUAUCAUUUCCUCAUAGGGAUUUGGGAAAUGCUCCCAUUCUUCUUUGAAGCAGGGGUGCAUUAUCAUGUCUAUGAUGGAUAUAUCUGGGUUUGACUGUCAUUAAGUUGCUAAGCAGGUCAUCUAGCUCUCUUGACACCCAACAGUGGUCAAGAUACACACCUGCCACAUGUCUUCUCAACUCGUGUAUGAAAAUAGAGGCAACAUUUCCAACUACCUUAAAAUGUAAGACUCUAGCAUUCAUAUGUGGUUCUUUGAACUAUCAUAAAUUUAUCCUAGGAAGAGUUCAUGGGCAUCAAAAGUGUUAGCACCAUUGUACAGGUUCAGCAUUUGCUCUGAUUGUCUUGGGUACUAAGGUCAAAGUCAAUGAUUUUGGCUUUUUGUUUCUUAUCCAACAUAUUAUUUGUUUGUCCUGUGAUUAUUCUGUGCCCCUGAGAGUAGAUCCAGGCUGUUAAUAUUUGCAUAAACUUUGCCAGGCCUUGUCCUUCACUAUGUAGCUAUACUUUGAGAUACAUUUGUAAAGAUGUUGAACCUCACCCAGCUCCAUGACAAGGUAUCCACUUGUUUUGGUCUCAAUUACUUGUAGAUGAUGUUGGGGUAGAUAAACACAAUUGUUGUCAUUGCCAUGGUCAUUACUGGAUGGCAUAAGUGCUUCUUCCUCACAAGGACUUGGAGGCCACUUUAUCAGAACAUCCACUGUCUUAGCACCUGCUUUUUCCCAACACAUCCACUGUACUGUCUGUCCAAGCCUAUGUUUUGUUGCCUUGCCCCUGAACUUCCUGCCAUUGCAGAAGGAAGUAGGAUGACAUGGUCUGGUUAAUAUAUUAUCUGGUUGAAGUGUCCUUAGUUUCUAGGGCUUAGAACCCAAUGUAUUCCAUUACUUUUUCACAUUAGCAGGGUCUGGCCUGAGGGGGAUCAGUUGCUCAUAGGGAUUUGGGAACUGCUUCUAGUCUUAGUUGAACUAGGGUUGCAUCAUGACCACAAUGACUGUUGGCCUAUAUUUAUGGUUGACUAUCUUUAAGAGGCUAAGUAGGUCCUCCAGCUCUUCUGACACCCCACCAGAGGCAGCAUAUACCUCUAUUACAGCCUGUCUUCUCAGCUCCAAAAUUAAGAGAGAAUCAAAUGGAAACUUUCUGACUGCCAAAAAUUAUAAAAUUCCACCCAAGGUCCAUAUUUUGUUCUUUGGAACAUAAUAAAAUUUUUCAAAGAAGAGUUCAGGGACACCAAAAGUAUAAGUAUCGCAGUGCUGGUUCAGCAUUUCCCCUGGGUAGAAUGAGGUACUAGGCCAAAGUUCAUAAUCUUGACUUUUCAAUUGAUAUACAAACCAGCACUCUUUGGCUUCACGUCCCUGUGAAGUAUUGUUUGCCCGUAGAAGUGGCUCAUCACAGCUAUUAUUUGCACAAUAUUUCCCUAGCCUUGACUUGCUCUAGGUAGGCAUAUUUUGGCACACAGUAAGCAAGAUGAUCUCCUGGUUUGAUUAUGCAUUGUAAUAUCUUAGACUCAGAAUCCAUUAUGGUGCAGUUCUUCCACAAAUGCAGGGUCUAGCCUGACAGAGCUCAGUCCUUCAUAGAGAUUUGGGAAAGACUUUCAGUCUUCCUUUAACCAGGGGUACAUCAUCCCAUCUGUGACUGUCAACCUAUAUUUCAUGUUGACUAUCAUUAGGAGGCUAAGAGGUCCUCCAUCUCUUCUGACACCCCGCAGGGGUUAGGAUACAUACAUGCCACAAUGGUCUUCUCAAUUGUAGUAUGAAUACAGAGUAAGAUCUGACUUUUUUAACUACCAUGAAAUGUAAAACUCAGGUCCAUUUGUCAUUCUGUGGACUAUCAUAAAGUUGCUGAGGAAGAGUUCAGGAGCUCCAAAAGAGAAAGCACCACAGUGCCACUUCAGCAUUGCCCUGGUUCAACUAGGGUUCUAAGGCAAAAGUCUAUGAUUUUGACUUCUCCAUUUAUGUCCAAUGGUAAAAUUAUCAGGUUUCUGUUCCCUGUGCACUAUACCCUGGUCAUUUCAUUAGCUCACAGUUAUGAUUAUUUGCCUAAAUAUUUCCCUGCCUUUGUCCUCCCCUAGGUGGCCCCAUUUUCAGGUGCUUUGGUAAAGCUGUUGUCCUUCAACAAGUUCUUACUUGCAGAAGUGAGAUGCUGUUCAGGUGGUCGACCAUCAUUGUCUCUGCCUUGGUCAUGAGUGUCAGGCACCAUUGCUUCUUUAGAAGCGGUUCGAUUGCUCUGGGGCUGCCACUGAGUCGAAGGCGUUGCUCCUGUGUCCCAUGGUCCUUAAGACUUUGUAUUGAGAGUGGAAUUUUCCCUCAUCAGAAAUUCUGCUGAGGGCUAGGGUGUGGGGUCUGCUCUUUACAAUGUGUAAGCAUUGUAGCUAAAGAUACUACAAAUAUUACCUACAAAUAACUUAAAAGUAUAGAAUAAAAAUAGUGGAAAAGAUGUAGGGAAACUGAAGCUAAAUUCACAGCAUGUGUUUACUAAAAUGACCAAAAUGUCUUUGGGAUUGCAAUUUAUUCUUUUAUUUGUUUUUGUUUUACUUUUUGUUUUUGUUUUUUUCUUUGUUUUUUGGCUCUCUCAAGAGGGCAACCCUGUAGUGCAAUAGAUCACAUAUUCAGAUGAUGUCAGGUGAAAUAGUCAUUGGCCACAUAAAGGCUAAAGCCUGUGUUUGGGCAAUGGAAGGAAAGACACAGCAGAACUUUUUGGGGAAUGGAGAGAAAGAAGAAUAGAGGCGGAAGAUUCGGGCAAGAAGAAGAUGGGGGAGAAAGAGGUUGAAAAUGGAGCAGGCACACGUGGCUUGCAGGAGCCACAAGUAGGUAGAGAUUUUAUAAAUGGGCAAUAGAGUAGUGUAGUGGUGGAUUUGUUUAAUCUAAGCACUCAGCUUAUAAUUAUAUAAUUGAGUUUUCUGUUUUUGCAUGGGCCUUUUGGCGUUGGAGAUUUACCCCUAUAAAUCUGGCUAGUAGAAGCUUCUUGGGUUUUCAUUACAAAAGACUAAGGCAAAUCCUGUGAGAGGAGCAUUGGCCAGCCUUCUGCAGGUCGGGGAGAUGGGGUGGAUGAGAUAAGAAACGCAAGCAGCAGUCCAGGCAUUUCAGAUUAAAGUUGUUUGGUUAGAGUAGCAAACUAGGAGCAGGAACCAGGCAAGAUGGAUGCAUAGACCUGGCCAUGUGGGUUGAGCAUUACCACUGAUACCAGAGCAUAGCAGGAAUUUGCAUUCCUGUGUUCUCAUUGCUGUUGUGUUCUCUCUGAGGAUGAUUGUUGAAUGAAUUCAGGCGACACUGCUGCCGUGGAUGUAUGUUUGUCCAGUGUGGGUGUAAUCUGGUGUGGCCUCAAGAAACAAAGGGCAGCCCCAGUGACUCUUCUGCCUACUUUUUGACCAGAUUGUGGUCAAAGGAAGUCACUAGACCAUUGGAUGAUGAUGAGACCUGUGCGUAUAGGGCGAGGUAGCUACCACUCCUCUACAGCCCAACAGGAAUGCAUCAUCAUCAUCAAGGAAAGGGAAUAACUGGACUCAAUGUGUGAGCCUCCAUUGUUCAGCCUUGCACCUGGAGAACUUGCCUGUACAGUAAGCCACAUGAUCCCAUGGUUUUAUUUUAUAUUACAAUAUCUUAGGCUCUGAACCCAGUAUGUUCUAUUUCUUCCACAAUUGCAGGGUCUAGCCUGACAGAGCUCAGUCCUUCAUAGGGAUUUGGGAAAGCCUUUCAGUCUUCCUUUAACCAGGGGUACAUCAUCACAUCUGUGACUCUCAACCUAUAUUUCGUAUUGACUAUCAUUAAGAGGCCAAGAGGUCCUAUAUCUCUUUUGACACCCCACAAAGGUUUGGAUACAUACUUGCCACAAACGGUCUUCAAAACUGUAGUAUGAAGACAGAGUAAAAUCUGACUUUUUUAAUCUACCAUUAAAUGUAAAACUAUGGUCCAUAUGUCAUUCUGUGGACUAUCAUAACGUUUGCUGAGGAAGAGUUCAGGAGCUCCAAAAGAGAAAGGACCACAGUGCCAGUUCAGCAUUGCCCUGGUUCCACUUGAGUUCUAAGGUGAAAGUCGAUGAUUUUGACAUUUCCAUUUAUGUCCAUCAUAAACUUAUCAGGUUUAGAUUCCCUGGGUACUAUACCCUGGUCAUGGCAUUAGCUCACAGUUGCAAUUAUUUGCCAAAAUAUUUUUUGCCCUUGUCCUCCUCUAGGUGGCCCCAUUUUCAGGUGUUUUGGUAAAGCUGUUGUCCUUCCACAAGCUCUUACUUGUAGAAGUGAGAUGCUGUUCAGGUAGUCAACCAUCAUCAUUGUCUCUGCCUUGGUCAUGAGUGACAGGCACCAUUGCUUCUUUAGAAGCAGUUCCAUGGCCAUGGGUCUGCCACUGAGGCAAAGGCGCUGCUCCUGCGUCCCCUUGGCUUUAAGACUUUGUUUUGAGAGUGGAAGUGUCCCUCAUCAGAAAUUUGCCUGGGGCUUGGGUGUGGGAACUCCUCCUUACUAUGUGGAAUCAUUGUAGCUAAGAAUACUACAAAUAUUCCCUAGAAAUAACUUAAAAUUAUAGAAUAAAAAUGAUGAAAAAGAUGUAGAGAAACUGAAGCUACAAUCACUGCAUGUGUUAACUAAAACUGAGCAAAAUGUCUUGUGGACUGCAGUUUUUUGUUUUGUUUUUCUUGCUCUCUCAAGAGGGCAACUCUAUAGUGCAAUAGAUCACAUAUUCAGGUGAAGUCAUGGCAAAUAGUAAUUGGCCAAAUAAAGGCUACAGCCAGUGUUUGGGCUAUGGAAGGAAAAGAUAGAGCUUAAUGUUUUGGGGUAGGGAGAGAAAGAAGAAUAGAGACGGAAUAUUUGGGCAAGAAGAAGAUGGGGGAGGAAGAGGUUGAAAAUGGAGCAGCCCCAUGUGUCUUGCACGAGCCACAAGAAGGUAGAGAUGUCAUAAAUGGGCAAUAGAGUAGUGUCGUGGUGUAUUUGUCUGAUCUAAGCACUCAGCUUGUAGAUAUAUUAUUGAGUUUUCUGGUCUUUGCAUGGGCCUUUUGGGGUUGGAGAUUUACCCCUAUAAAUCUGGCUAGUAUAAGCCUCUAGGGUUUUCAUUACAAAAGACUAACGCAAGUCCUGUGAGAGGAGCAUUAUCCAACCUUCUGCAGGUCAGCCAGAGGUGGUGGAUGGGAUGAGAAAUGCAAGCAGUAGUCCAAGCAUUUCAGAUUAAAGGUGUUUGGUUAGAGUAGCAAACUAGCAGCAGGGACCAGGACAAGAUGGCUGCAUAGAGCUAGCCAGGUGGGGUGAGAAACACCACUACUACCAGAGCAUAGCAGGAAUUUGCAUUCCUGUGUUCUCAUUGCUGCUGUUGUUCUCACUGAAGCUGAUUAUUCAGUGAAUUCAGGCGACACUGCUGGCAUGGAUGUAUGUUUGUCCAGUGUGGGUCUCAUCUGAAGUGGCCGGAAGAAGAGAAGAACAGCCCUCUUCGCUCUUCUGCCUUCUCUUUGGCAAGAUAAUGGCCAAAGGUAAACACAAGGCCAUUGGAGGAUGUUGAGACCAGUGUGACUAGGGUGGGGUAGCUUCCACUCCUCUUCAGCUCAAAGGUAAUGCAUCGUAUACAUCAAGGGUAGGGAAUAACUGGAUUCGAUGUGUGAGCCUCUGUUGUUCUGCCCUGCACCUGGAGAACUUGCCUGUACAGUAAGCCACAUGAUCCCAUGGUUUGAUUAUAUGUUGUGAUAUCUUAGGCUCUGUACCCAGUAUGUUCUAUUUCUUCCACAAUUGCAGGGUCUAGCCUGACAGAGCUCAGUCCUUCAUAGGGAUUUGGGAAAGCCUUUCAAUCUUCCUUUAACCAGGGGUACAUCAUCACAUCUGUGACUGUCAAACUAUAUUUCGUGUUGACUAUCAUUAAGAGGCCAAGAGGUCCUACAUCUCUUCUGACACCCCACAGAGGUUAGGAUACAUACUUGCCACAACCGGUCUUCAAAACUGUAGUAUGAAGACAGAGUAAAAUCUGACUUUUUUUAUCUACCAUUAAAUGUAAAACUAUGGUCCAUAAGUCAUUCUGUGGACUAUCAUAAAGUUUGCUGAAGAAGAGUUCAGGAGCUCCAAAAGAGAAAGGACCACAGUGCCAGUUCAGCAUUGCCCUGGUUCCACUUGAUUUCUAAGGCAAAAGUCGAUGAUUUUGACUUUUCCAUUUAUGUCCAACAUAAUCUUAUCCAGUUUCAGUUCACUCGGUACUAUACCGUGCUCAUGGCAUUAGCUCACAGUUGCUAUUAUUUGCCUAAAUAUUUCCCUGCCCUUGUCCUCCUCUAGGUGGCCCCAUUUUCAGGUGUUUUGGUAAAGCUGUUGUCCUUCAAUAAGCUCUUAAUUGUGGAAGUAAGAUGCUGUUCAGGUUGUUGACCAUCAUCAUUGUUUCUGCCUUGGCCAUGUGUGGCCUACACCAAUGCUUCUUUACAAGCAGUUCGAUGGCCAUGGGACUGCUAGGGAGGCGAUGAUGUGAUAUCGGGACCUUGGCAUUGCUCCUUAAGUCCUUAAGACUUUGUACUGAGUGUGGAAGUUUCCCUCCUCAGAGAUUCUGCUGGGGCCUAGGGUUUGGGAAAUCCUCCUUACUAUGUGUAAGCAUUGUAGCUAAAAAUACUACAAAUAAUACCUAGAAGUAACUUUAAAAGUGUAGAAUAAAAAUAAUGAAAAAGAUGUUUGGAAACUGAAGCUAUCGUCACUUCAUGUGUUAACUAAAAUGAGCAAAAUGUCUUGUGGAUUACUGUUUGAAUUUUUUCCUCUCAAGAGGGCGGCCCUGUAGUGCAAUAGAUCACAUAUUCAGAUGAUGUCAAUUGAAAUAGUAAUUAGCCAUAUAAAGGCUACAGCCUGUCAUUGGGCAAUGGAAGGAAAAGAUAGAGCAGAAUGUUUUGGGAAAGGGAGAGAAAGAAUAGAGAUGGAUGAUGCGGGCAAGAAGAAGAAGAUGGGAGAGAAGAGGUGGAAAAUGGAGCAGGCCCAUGUGGCUUGCAGGAGCCACAAGUAGCUAGAGAUUUCAUAAAUGGGCAAUAGAGUAGUGUAGUGGUAGAUUUGUCUAGUCUAAGCACUCAGCUUGUACUUAUAUUAUUGAGUUUUCUGUUCUUUGACUGGGACUUUUGGAGUUUGAGAUUUACCACUAUAAAUCUGGCUAGUAUAAGCUUCUGGGUUUUCAUUUCAAAAGACUAAGGCAAGUCCUGUGAAAGGAGCAUUAUCCAACCUUCUGCAGGUCAGCCAGAGGUGGUGGAUGGGAUGAGAAAUGCAAGCAGUAGUCCAGGCAUUCAGAUUAAAGUUGUGUGGUUAGAGUAGCAAACUACCAGCAGGAACCAGGACAAGAUGGCUGCAUAGAGCUAGCCAUGUGGGUUCAGGAUAACCACUGAUACCAGAGCAUAGCAGGAAUUUGCAUGGGUUUAAUUUAAAACUUCAUGCAAUAGAAGAUGUUGCCUGUGGUAGUCAACAAUCCACUAGGGAGUUAGGAUUCUUGUCCUAGGGAUGAGAGAAUUAGAUUCCUGAAUGAGCAGAGAUGAGUCAAAUGACUCCAGCACAUGGGAAUCUUAAUCAAACACAGUGAUAGACAGACCCAAAUCAGGCUUUGCGUUCUCUUCCUGUAAAAAGAAUCAGUAUAAUAAAUGGAUCCAGGCAGAGAGGGAGACUGAAGACUGCCUGCUUUUAAUAAAGUUUGGUUUAGUUGUUGCUAAUUUGAUGUAAUUUUGUUUAAAGAUAGAAGAGGACACAAUUUUGGCCACAGUCACCUGGGGAAUUCCUCCUGAGGUUCAGAGCUAACUCAGGGCAAAUGAGCCCAGAUUAUCUGGGAGCUCCUGCUGUGCAGGGACAAACUGAGCUAACAGAAAAACUACAGCCUCCAAGGCAGACAACAGAAUUUGGAUAAGGAUGAAACCCUCUAGGAAAGUCUCAGUGUCUCACAGGAUUCUCAUAUUCUCUCAAAAGAGGGUUAAAUGUCCUGUCUUGGCAGAUUAGAAAAGGCCUGAAAAAACUGUUUCUACUCUGCUUGUUUGGUUUAGUUCCCUCGUAUGAGUAUUUAAUUUUCGAAAUGUAUGUGUUUUUGAAUUUUCUGGUUAUUUUACUAUUCCUCUGGGAAAGAUGUCAAGCUAAAAAUCUUUCUGGUUACUGGCUAAAGUGUCUGCUAAUUUGGGAGAAAGACCUUAUGUUUCUGCUUAUAGGAAAAGUAAUUAGGCACUGGACUCCUUCCAGGGUUCUCUGGGUCAGAAAGGGCAGAUGAGCCCCCCUGAAGAACUAGAAAAUUCAAGAGAACCAAGCAAGAAAGGUAAAGAUUCCUUAUGCCAUUGUUCACAAUGCAUGAACGAAGACGUAUGAUUAGUUAUUAUUAAAUUUGGCUCAUAAAAAGACUAUCUUUUCACAUGCUUAAACAAAGAGCAGUAUUUCAUCUUGAGUAGUCAAGGUAUUUCAUGUUAAACUGGUUCCCAAUUGGCUUAGCAAUCGAGCCUCAGGAUGCAGAGUAACACAGCUGCAUAGAGCUAGCCAUAGGGGCUGGGUGAAACUCUGAUGCCUGUGUUUAGCCAGACUUAGUGUGGGGUUAUUUUAAAAAUUACAUGUAACAAAAAGUGAUUGAAAGAAACUAAAGUCAAAGUUAGGAAAAUAGAAUAAAAAUUAUGGAAAAGAUAUCAGGGAAAAAGCUAAAGUCAAAAAUCCCAAGUAAAAUUCAAACAAAUAACCCACCUUGUAUUCUGUUCAGAAAAGUCACGAAGCUCUCUAGAAGGAGACAAGACAGGAUGCAGCUGUUGGGCUAUCUCAGGCAAACUCUGCACCGGAGCACCUGUUCAAAGAGAUUAGAACAUCAUUAUUGUAUCAUGGAUGUUUACUGGGAGAAUGGAAUGAUUUCACAGCUGAGUUGUGGAAUUCUAUUGAUCUAUAAAAUAACCUAUGCAGUGAAUAAUAUAAAGUUAUGAAAUAUCUUCCAGCUUCAUUAAUCAGAACUAUAAAUUUUCAAUCUAGCCCAUGUAUGCUGAUGGUAACUGUCGCUUCUGUUUCCGACCCGCAGAAAAGAGCGACUACACAGCGUUCUUUUCAAAGCGGUUUAUUCAAGAACCUUACAACAUGCAAACAGGAAUCUUUCUUUUCUUUUCUUCUGUCUCCCUCCCAGCCCAGCCCCCGAGCACACUCCCUUGUAUCCUCCCUCAACUCCGCCUCCUCAAUCCAGACUGCAUAAUCUCAGUUCAUAGGUCCACGUCACAUGGCCUGAUCUUGCAUCAUGGUGCACCUGCACAGCUCUCACAAUGGAUGUGGCUAGUUUCAGGUGUGUGAGGAAGUCAGAUGCUAGUCACGAGACUUAGCUGCAGUCCCAGGCGCCAUCUUGGGACUACCGCCACACCCGCUCCCCACAGGUAACUGUGAUUUCAAGGUCAUUUCCAAUCAUCUAUGUUAAGUGUUUUGACUCAAGGAAACUGGCAUUGCCAUAGAUGAAAUCAGUAAAAGGCAUAUUUAUUUCUUCUUUGCCACAUAACUAGACAAAUGUCAGUUCAAAAAGUUGCGAUCAUUUAGUGUACUUUUUUCAUCUCAGUUACUUAUGUAUUUUUUCAUUUAUUUAAAUUUCCAUACAUGUAUACAGUAAAAUAUGGUCAUAUCCACCCUAACAUCUGUCCUCCAACUUCUACAAGAUCCCUCUCAGAAUCCCCCGAUUGACUCUAUAGCCCUGGUUGGUCUGGGACUUGCUGUGUAAAUCAAAUUAGCCUAGAACUCACAGAGGUCCACCUGAAUCUGAUCCUGGGCUUAAAAGUCAGCACCACUAAACCAUUCCUCUGUGUGUGUGUGUGUGUGUGUGUGUGUGUGUGUGUGUGUGUGUGUGUGUGUACAGAAAUACACAUACACACAUUUUUUGUAUCCCAGUAAGCCCUAUUAGUGCUAGUCAUACAUGCAUACUGUGUGUACAGACAUUCACUGGAUUAUCAGAGUCCUACCAGUGGCUUGUCCCCAAGGAAGAGUGAAUUUCUAUCAGCUGUUGUUAACUGCAGCUCCUCAUUUGAUGCAAGGGCUUAUAAGUUCUUCUCCCACCCAUGCACGAUGUGCAAACAAAUGACACAGCCACCUCCGUCACUUUACUCGGUUAACAUAUACUAAUAAAAUGUUAUGGUAUUUUCAAAUUUAUAUGUAUCUGUAUUGUAUAUGUAUAAUGACACAUUGUAUAUACUUGUAAUGGCUAUUCUUGGUUGUGAACUUGACUAUAUGUGGAAUGAACUUCAAUCCAGAAUUGGAAAGCUCACCUUUGAUCCUGAUUUGAGGCUGGGAGACACAAAUUUCUGAACUGAAUCUUGGCAUGGAGAUCAUGAGGCAAAGUGGCUGUGAAUCUCAGGAGUUUAAGACAAGGAGAUCUCUGAGUUCAAGGUCACCUAGGACAAAGCAAGUCCCAGUUCCAGCUGUGGUGGUACACACCUUUAAUCUGGGACACACCUUCUGCUGGAGAUUUAUAUAAGGACAUUGGAAGAAGGAAGAGUCUCUCUUUCAUCUGCCUGCCUGAUUUGUAGGACUGAGCCACUGCUAGAUCCUUGGACUCCUAUUCAUACCUGUUGCUGAUCAUUGUUGGGGAGUUGGACUAUAGACUGCAAGUCAUCAACCAAUUGUCUUACUGUACAGAGAUUUCCCAUAAGUUCUGUGUCUCUAAAGAACCCUGUAUAAGACAAUUCUCUUUUAUAAUAUCUAAUUUCUAUUGAUAGAUAAUGUAAUUUAUUUUUUUAUUCAUAAUAUUAUUAUAUUCAUCCCUAUGUUUAUAUGUAAAUAAAACACAGGUUGUAUGCCUAUGAAACAGUAACACACUGCAUACUUGAUGACUGCUGUCUUUUCCCUACUCCCUACUGCAGGGGAGAAAAUGGACCAUUCUCAUCAAUGAAAAAGGUAAAAUAAAAUGUUAACUAUUGGCUGGAAACACAGAUGGUUUACACAUAAAAUUACAUCUUCUUGAUUGCUACUUUAGAAAUUUAUCUUCAUUUCCUGAAGUCACUUUUUAUGAUACAUUACUAUAUCAAAUACUAUCUCAUAGUUUUUAAGGUAAGUUAAUUUUAUUCUUGGUACAAAAGUAUACACAUAGUGUUGUGCAACUUCCAGUAAUAUCCGGGUAGGGCUUCGUGAACAUAACUGUAUGGUUUAAUACUUCCCUAUGUGAUCCAAAGCUCUUUUGUUGUUAUAUUAUGAUCUCUAAGCAGAAUAUUUUUGAUCCUGAAAUUAUAUACAAUACCUAACUUUUUCUAAAACACUUCAUUAGCUCUCCAUAGAAUGCUAUUUAAGUGUGUUUGACUGUUCGGUCCCAGGAUAUGAAUUCCAGUAGAGCACUUUCUGGAUAAUAUUUCCUUACAAAGUGCUGUUAACUGCUUCCUCCAAGAAGUUAAUUUCUUGUCUUGAAAUUUAAACCUUAUGUUUAAAUAGAAGAUAGAGAAGGCAGAUGCUGGAUUAUUUAGUACCAAGCUGGUUUUCUGUCCUGAUAUGGGUAAGGGCUAGUCACUUGAGGUGUUUCUCAUUCCUUUGGAUUUGUAGCUGUUUCAGACUUUAUAAAUAAUCAUUUUGAGUAUUACAAGUCUAUGGGCAUUUUCUCACCAAAUUGUCCAUUUUUACAGGAGUAUUUUUCUUACAAGUUUGGAACCAUAAAAUAGAAACUUUCCUAACUAGUCAAGCUACUAGGGUGUAUGUGGGCAGGGUUUUGCACAUUUCCUGCUGUGUGAUUUAAUUGUGCUGUUCUGACCAUUUUUUUUGCAUAGUCUGCUGGCCAGGAUAAACUGGAAAUCUAUGUUAAAUCGUUGUCCAAGGAGGUAUUGCAGAUGUGGUCAGUAUUUGUUUUAAAGGAAACAGUGAAAGGCAUUCUUCACUCGAGCUUUGUGAAAUACUGUGCAGAUGCUUAUGGCUGUGGAUACUGUGUGGUGUGAGGAAUGCUGUUGUGCACUGACUGUGUGGUGUGAGGAAUGCUGCUGUGCACUGACUGUGUGGUGUGAGGAAUGCUGCUGUGCACUGACUGUGUGGUGUGAGGAAUGCUGCUGUGCACUGACUGUGUGGUGUGAGGAAUGCUGCUGUGCACUGACUGUGUGGUGUGAGGAAUGCUGCUGUGCACUGACUGUGUGGUGUGAGGAAUGCAGCUGUGCACUGACUGUGUGGUGUGAGGAAUGCUGCUGUGCACUGACUGUGUGAUGUGAGGAAUGCUGCUGUGCACUGACUGUGUGGUGUGAGGAAUGCUGUGGUGCAUUGACGCUGCCUUUUUUCUUUUCUCCCUACCCCUGCAUCCUUCUGGUGGUUCAGGUUGGACAACUAGGUGCCCAUGACCAAGUCCUCAUUGUGGAUGGAUUUAGUCUAUUUGGACAUUCUCAGGAAAGGGCAGCAGAACUCAUGACUAGUACCAGUCCCAUGGUUACCCUGGAAGUUGCAAAUCAAGGCAUCCUCUUUCACUGCCUGUCCACCUUUCUUACCCAGCCAUUGUCCUCCAUGGUGCAGAGAGCUUGCAGCUGAAUAUUACACUGAAUAUGGGGACCCCAAUGGAGGAGUUAGAGAAAGAACUGAAGGAGCUGAAGAGGUUUGCAAUCCCAUAGGAAGAACAACAAUAUCAACCAACCAGACCCCACAGCUACCAGGUAGGAAACCAUGAACUCAUGAGUACACAAGGAGGGAUCCAUGGCUCCAGCCACUUAUGUAGCAGAGGAUGGCAUUAUCCAACAUCGAUAGGUGGAAGAGUAAAGGUUUUGAGCUCUAUAAUAAUUCAGCUCAAAACCGCUCCCCAAAGAGUCCUCAAAAGCCUUGGACAGAGCACAGUCAUCCAACGAAGCUGCCUGGUAAAGACAGUCUGAUGAAAAACAGAGCAGAUCACCCUUUCAGCCCCAAUGUGACAAGUAAGAAGAGGCAUUCUCUAAGUCACCUUGUCACCCAGAUCAUUGUUUAUACUUUGAUCAUUGUUUUUUGUGUCCCUUGGCCAGCUAGAAUACAGUUUUCAUAGAGGUCUCAUAUUAGUCCAAAAUUAGGAUUUUAUUUGGAAAACCCUUGACCUUAUAGAUCAAAAUGCACUGUAAAUGUGUCUUCAAAAUGGAUCGGGUUUCCAAGUUAGUGGAGAUCAUUUUUACACUUAAAAGAGUUGCUAACAAAGUAGUGAGGAUGGAGUAUACUGAAUAGAGACCCCAACGUCCAAAAGGCUUCAACCUCCAAAAGGCUUCACGUAUUUACUCUCAUGUCUCUAGCCCAGAUCUCAUCUGGUCCUGGAGAAAGUCCUGCUCCUGGUCUGUGGCGUCAGGAGACUUGUAGGGGUGCGUGAAGCCGACUUCUGGUACAUCUUUGUCUCUGGCUCAGUGCUAAACAUCCUGCCCUCAGUGUAUGAUGGGUAUGCCAUGGCUCCUGCAUUUAAAGGAAUGUUGUUAUGUUUAUUUUACUUGUUAUUUAAUGUGACACUUGGGUUUUUAACACUAUUUCUAAUAGAUCAGCCUCCUAUCCCUGGAGAGAAGUGUGCAUAUACCACUACAACAGCAGCUAACAUCUGUCUUCACUGGAGAACCCUGCACUGAGGUCUAAGAUGAGCUGGAACACUUUCUUACUUGUGAAAUAUCUGACUUCUUUGAUACAGUUCCCAACAAAUUACAUUAACUAUCAUUCCUGAAUUUUGGUCAUUUAAGUUUAUUUCUAUUACACUAGUCAAAUAAAUUAAUGAAUCGGGGAACAUGAGAAUUAGUGUAAAUGAGUAAAUAAGAAAAUUUAAGAUUUUUUUUAUUGGGGUUGGGGAUUUAGCUCAGUGGUAGAGUGCUUGCCUUGGAAGCGCAAGGCCCUGGGUUCGGUACCAAGCUCAGAAAAAAAAAAGAUUUUUUUUAUUGAAAGCAUAGGGUCAAAAUUACAUUUUUUAUCAUGGCUUUUAAAAUAUAUUCUUUAAAAAACCAUUUAUUUAUUUAUUUAUUUAUUUAUUUAUUUAUUUAUUUAUUUUAUAAUCCAAUAUUAGCCCUUCCUGUCUUGCCAAUAACCCCUCAUACAAACCCGUCUAUCACCUCUUCCUGAGAUGGCAAAGCUCCUUUUGGGGUGUCAACCCCCAUGAUUGCUUUUUUAAAGAUUGUAAAACAGAUCCCCGAGGACAAAGUUCACCUUUUAUGCAGUUUUAUGAAUCUCAUUGUUUAUUUCUUUACAUUUCACAAGAACAGACCCCUCUACGUAGUCCUGAAGCUAGGAGCUAAAUUGCAGGAGUGACAAUGCCACAAACAGCAUGCAUCAGUGUAUAGAAAAAUCUUUUUAUUCCUUUGUACACACAGGUACAGCUGGUUACUUGGAGAGUGAGCCAUAAAGCAGUGUCAGGUCUGGUUAUACACCCAUUCCUCAGUUUUCUUACCUCCUCUGUGAGAAAGAAACAUGCAUGAAAUUUUGUUAAUAUCUCUGGUGAGUCUCUGAAGUAUUAGAUCUUCGUCUUUUCUUUUCUCGGUGUGUUACCCCUUCAAUGGAAGAACUUCAGGAAGAGUUUUACCAACUUGAGCUGCAUUGAGUAGUGGCCAGCAUGGAUCUCUAGUGUGACAAUGAUAUGUGGAUCCAGAGCUCCUCAGUGGACUCUAUGACAUCCAGCCAGGAGCACCUGAAAUAUUCCUCCAAGUCAGUUACCCCUGCUUCCACUCUACCAAGAGUGGUCCUGGCCAUUGGAAAACCCAGCAGAGGUGCUGCCCACCCCUGUGACUGUCUUCCAGCCCAUAUGAACAGACCUCCCUCCACCACCUCCUCCACCACAUGUCCACCUACACCAGUGGUUUUGAUGGCAUUUCAGUGGCUUUGCCCCUCCCACCACCUUCUGCAAACAAGGCAGGAUCCCAGUCUGCUCAGGUGGUUGCUGGCUAGCAAAAAAGAAGGAGGAGCAGCAGUGGUGGUCUGAGAUAUAGAAGGCCUGCCUGGAUAAGGAAGCAGAGAGGAAGCACGGGGAGCAGGAGUAGAAUCUGGGGCAGAUGCACUCUCAUUCCCUGAUCCCUGCUUCCUUAUCUCUUUUGGCCACACCGGCCCAACCAGGAAAACCUUCCACACUGCAGAGGCCCCAAGAAACAGUUACUCUGGAGCUGUAGCCCCAGCAGCAGCCCCCCACUAUUGAGCACAGGAAUCUGCAGUAGAAAACUAUCAGUAAAGAGGAGUUGUCCUAUGGGGAUAGUCUGUCUCCAGACCCAUGGAAACAAGAUGCCAGGGAGAAGCUGGAGAAGCAACAGCAAAUGCACCUUGUGGACAUGCUAAGCAAGGAGAUCCAUGAGCUGCAAAACAAGGGGGACGGUAGUGCAGAGGAGAGUGACUGCCUGUGGAAGCUUAUGCUGGAGUGGCUGUUUUGGAAGAGACUUCAGGCUAUAUUUCUUGUGUUUCUCCCAGGUUCAUUUCUUGAACCUGUUCUUGAAAACUGUUCAAGCAGCCCAACAUUUGACAUUUUCAAAGUAGAAAUUCAUAACAACUAUGUUUUUGACAUUCUGGCCUUAGAUAAUUCUACAGUGAUGUCUAUGGUUAAGUGCCAGGCAGUGAGAACCCAGGAGUGACGAUCAGAGGUACACAGGAUGACCUGAAGGUGAGGUGCUCCUGGAGCCCAGUGUCCUGAGUGCAGGUCCUCAACCUUACAGCUGCCCACUCCAGCUGUGCCUGGGAUGGAGCCAGUGCUACCGACCUAGGAAGCAGCUCAGGGACUGUGCUUACUAUGUUCCCCAUUGGUUCAGUUCAUGACAAAGGUUAAUCUGAAGUAACAGCAGGAAUUUUAGCCCGCUGGAAUUCUGUAUCUGAGAAAGUACAUGUCUUUAGGAACAUCAAGAUGCUCACGUCUAACACGUUUCAGCUUUAUAUGUCACAGAUAUCAUAAUAAAGUUGUUUAUAACCUUUUUCUGUUUGGGGUAGCUCAAGGGUAGAAUGUCCUGACCCUGAGUAUUAUAUCUAAUUACCCAGAGAGAGAGAGAGACAGGAAGGAAGGGAGGGGUAGA